rnacentral:lncRNA from 1 species
UUCAUCUCAGCAGCCAGGAGACUUGCUCAAGACCAGCAACCUCUGCUUCUUCAAUACCACAAUGGCCCUCUUCUUUCCGGAAAAAUCUCCAUUAAUCUCAUCUGGUACGGAAAGUUCAAGCCUUCCCAACGCGCCAUUGUUUCUGAUUUCAUUACCUCCCUCUCUUCCUCCAAAACCACCCCCCACCAACCCUCUGUUGCGGCGUGGUGGAAUACCAUCGACAAAUACUACCUCCUCAUUAAGUCCAAGAAAUCCACCUCCCUCGGUCUCUCCCUAGGCACCCAAAUCCUCGACGAGAACUACUCUUUGGGUAAAUCACUGACCAGUCGAAAUCUCAAACAGUUGGCAGCAAAGGGGCAGCAGAGCAACGCCAUUAACGUAGUCUUGACAUCUUCUGAUGUAGCCGUUGAAGGGUUCUGCUCCAGCAGGUGCGGAACACAUGGGUCUUCUCCCAGCUCCAAGACUGCUAAGGUUAAUGGCAAGAUCUCCAAGUUCGCAUACAUCUGGGUGGGUAACUCCGAGACUCAGUGCACAGGUCAAUGUGCAUGGCCAUUCCACCAGCCCAUUUACGGACCCCAGAGUCCACCCCUGUCCGCACCCAACAACGAUGUGGGUAUGGAAGGUAUAGUUAUGAACCUGGCUAGCCUCUUGGCUGGAACUGUUACGAACCCCUUUGGAAAUGGAUACUACCAAGGUUCCGCAGAGGCUCCCCUGGAGGCUGCAUCGGCCUGCCCUGGGAUUUAUGGGAAGGGCGCGUACCCUGGCUAUGCCGGAAAGCUGUUGGAGGAUCCCACCACAGGUGCUAGCUAUAAUGCCAAUGGUGUGAAUGGGAGGAAGUACCUGCUUCCUGCAUUGCUUGAUCCUUCAACUUCCACCUGUUCUACUCUGGUCUGAUAGACUGAUACUACUAUGCUUCUCUAAAUUCAUUUAGUUGUAUAGCACGGAGACGAUAACCGAUUCUUUGUUUGUAUUUGAUUAAUUACCAUUAUGUAUUCUUUUUCCCGUCUGAAUAAAUGAAAUUCCAAUGUUUUCUUUCAUAUCCAACCAGUUCAGCCUUCCUCUGAUAUUUUUUCUUCACAUCCCAAUCCCAACAAAAGCCGCACUGCGCCCUCCUCUGCUAUUCAAACUCGUAUGUGGUCAAAAUCAUUAAUGAGAUCUACCAUUGGAGAAAGCUUUAUUAUAAUAAGGAAAAUUUUAAGCAAAACCUUUAGGACAUGGAAUGAUCUGCUGCUUUUCUCGUCCUACAUUUUUAAUUUAAGACUUAAAUUUCCAACCUCGUCUACAUGCCAUCAUUAUUUAUUCAGAAGUUGCAAUUGAAGAAACGUUUAUAGCACGUUUUGCAGGAAUAUUAUUAAUAAUUUAAGUAUGUAACAUUCUCAAAAGGCAGUCUAAGAAGAUGUAUACUUCCAACCUUGGAUUUUGUCACAAUUAUUCAUGGCCCAGCCUCCACGUGAAAUUCUAAUAGAUGUUCAAUAAUUCAAACGGAAAUGUGCAAUAGAAUAUGUCAACCCUUCAAUGUGAGGAAGGUUUGGCUAAAAUUUUAGCUUAAAUUAAGAUUUUAGAGAAUAUAACAUCAUAAUUUUUUUUCAUGUUUGUCGUAAGGAAGAAAUAAAAAGGGCCUUAUCACGUUGGUGAUAUAAAUUUUCUAAUUUAUUUCAAUGAUUUCUUUUUUCUCAUGAAAAAAAAAAUAAAAAUCCUCAUAAUGAAUGCAAGUUGGUUUUCGAGAUAAAAAUAUGUUGGCUAGAUGUGUAAUAUAUGAAAAAUUAGAAAAUAAAAUAUUCAACAAAUUUUCUCCUGUUAAUUCAACAUUUCUCAAUAUUUUUAUAAAUUUAAAAUUAUUACUUUUAAAAUAUUAUUUAUAAAUUAAUUUAAAAUAUUUAGUAUUAUUAUUCUAUAACAAAAUGACCUAUUGAUUUUUCUUUAACUUUUUAAUAUCUAAUAAAAAUAAAAUAUUAAAUCAACAAACUAUUUAAUACUUAAUAUUAUUAAAUACUAUUUAAUUCUAAAUUCUAUUUAAAAUUAACUAAAAAGAAAAAGAAAAUAUCAUCUUAAUCAUGUCAUAUCAAUUCUCAAAAUUAGAGUUUGAGGGCUUAAUUUUUUUAACCUGGCAUCAUUUGGAUUGAUACAACUUUUAUAAUAAAUAAAUUUUUGCCAAAAAGAGUACAUAUAAAAAUAAUUUAAUUUCACACAUAAAGAAUAUUGUGGGGUCUAGGUCUCUUUGUAAAAAGUUACUUUAUAAAAGUAUUUUCUUAACUUAAUUUAUAGAAAAAGCUCCUAAAUCAUGAAUCUCUCAUUUUUCAUAUGUUUAAUAAAAAAUUUUUAUAAAAUUUCUUGAAUUGUUUGAAACAUAUGCUAUAUGAUUUCAAUGAUAUUUCAAGUAAAACCUUGAUCAACUAACUUUCUAGAAGACAUAAAAUUUUUAGAAAUCUAGAACUUUAGGAGUAGCAAUAACAAAGAUAUUUAAGUGGCAUACAAGUCAGAUUGUUUUUGAGGAGUUUCAAACUUCAAAUCAUAACCGGUCCAAAUGUUAUACAUUUGAGCAGGAAACAGAAAGACUGUCACUAAUUUGGGGUGUUAGUUUAGCCAAAUUAAGCUAGGGCCAUAAGAUGUUUGGGACCACCUCGAUUUUAAGUCAUUUUGCCAACAACUAUUAAGGCAUUAACAACUAACUAGGCAGGCCGGACCCUUAUCCAUUUCUAUAAAAGACAUCAUCUGUAUGGCUACCGACCUAAAUUGAUUGCAUGCCAAAUGAACAAAUUUCAUACCCAAUAAUCACAUGUAACUUCUAAUUAGCUGAGUGUAAUUGUUUUGUCAUUAAAAUUGCUGUCCCGGUCCCAUCACAUGGUGCGAAUACAUCGUGAUUUGUUAACUUAAUUGGAAAUAUUACAAUCCAAACAACUAAGAUUGUGGGUAUUAAUGGAAAAUCCAAUAUUGCAAUGUUGAUGGUUGCAACUUGCAGCUUGGAUCUUAUACUUAUAGUCUCACACUCGUUUCACACGUAGUCGAUAUGAUCAUGAAUAACGGGGUCCAUCCCCGAGGGCCCCGUGAUAACAACAGAGCACUGAGCACCUAAAAAUUAAAAAUGGUGUGCAUGUAGCCGCCGCAAGGAAAACCAUGCCAGUGUUUGGAAUAAUUUUGGCUUUUGUGUCUUUCAAGCUAGCCGCUUCUCCAGAGAGAUGAAAGCACGGUAUCGAUCGAAUCAAGUGGAUCAGGGCCCGGAGUUUUAAAUGGCGGGUCGGCGCACACUGAUGUUUUGAGCCAUCUAAAACCAUGAGCAUAUUGAUUCCUUGAGUUAUUUAGAAAAUGGGGAUGUGCUUUCAGCGUAUACAAACUCACCUGUGACUAUCUUACUCUAAAGCAAAUAAUCACGGACGAGUGCUAACCCUAGGAUCGUUAUCUUCACAUGCAAGGAUUACCUACUUGUUAUUCCCCCUGUCCCUUGACUUUGGGUUUUAUAUUUUUGGACGAUCAGAAAGAAGGAAACACCUACCCUUGAUAACCACGUCAUCAGGCACAACCUGGCGAAAACUGCCACGCGUUUGACACUAAAAGUGGUCAAUUAAUCAACGCGGCACGAUUUCAAUGUUUCUUCCAUCACUCCCUUUUGGCCAGCGCCACACGCGCACUCCAUGAUGACACCACCUUUCUAUGACUAUAUAAGUAUCGCAACAGUCGACUCUUCCUUCACACUCAUUCCUCACCAAUCCAGCUUUUCACACUCUCUGCAUCACCUUCACCCCACUACUUUACCUUCUCAAUGACUUCUACUUACCAUUUCUCCAUCUUUGUUUCACUUCUCCUACUCUCCUGCCUUCCCAACCUCACCUCCGCCACACCUCGAAAACUCUUCUCUCUUGUUCAAGAGCAACCUCUCAUUCUCAAGUACCACAACGGGCCACUCCUUAAGGGCAACAUCACCCUCAAUCUCGUUUGGUACGGAAACUUCUCCCCCAUCCAACGCUCCAUACUCGUCGACUUCCUCCAGUCUCUCAAUUCCCACACCACCACGCCCCACUCCGUCUCAUCGUGGUGGCAGACCAUCCAGAAGUACAAAGGAGUCUCCUGCACCCUCGCCGUUGGGAAUCAGAUCCUCGAUGAAGACUACUCUCUAGGGAAGUCAUUGCGAAGUUCAGACAUCAUUUCCUUGGCUUCUAGAUCAAACCAAAGGAGCGAAAUAACCGUGGUGUUCACAUCGGCAGACGUGGCGGUAGAAGGGUUCUUCAUGAGCCGGUGCGGGACUCACGGGUCAACUCAGAGUAAGUGGGCCUACGCGUGGGUGGGUAACUCGGAGACUCAGUGUCCGGGUCAGUGCGCAUGGCCAUUGCACCAGCCCAUGUAUGGACCACAGACUCCGCCGCUGGUGUCUCCAAACGGGGACGUGGGAAUUGACGGAAUGGUGAUCAAUUUAGCGACUGUUUUGGCGGGAACGGUGACUAAUCCGUUUGAUAACGGCUACUUUCAAGGAUCGGCUAGCGCGCCGUUAGAGGCGGUGACGGCUUGUACAGGUAUAUUCGGGACAGGAGCUUAUCCAGGAUAUCCCGGCGAAGUUCUGGCGGAUGGAACGACUGGGGCUAGCUAUAAUGCUGUUGGGGUGGAUGGGCGUAAAUACUUAUUGCCGGCGAUGUGGGACCCUCAAACCUCCACCUGCAAGACAUUAGUCUGAAGCCUGAACCUAAUGGAUGAUUUGUGUUCUGUGUGGUACCAGCAAUUGUUUGUUUGGAGGAGCUUUGUACUCCCAGCUUUGAAGUUUGUUCUUUUUUUUCAUCAACCUUAUCAUAUGUAAAUGUUUAUGUAUCAUUAAUUAAAUUUGUUUCAUUAGUCAACCAAUCCUCUGUCUCCUUUGCCUUCUAAAAAGUUUCAAAUUUUUUCUAACAAUUUUGGGUCAUUAGGUUUUGGUGGAAGUUUCAAGUUGACUAACCAGUUAGCUUCUGGAUUUAACUUAACCCCAUAUUAAGCUGAGGAACCAAUCUGGUUUUAGCACAUGUGCAUUGAUUGGUAUUCUUUAUAAUGGAAUCUAACUGCUUUCUUUUUUACCCCAUGAGAAGAUUUCACCAUAUUGUCCUCCAUUCUUGCACACAACCGUAUCAUCUGACUGAAUUUUCUAUGAAAUAAUAAUUAUUUUGGUUUUUUUUUUUUUCAUUUUUCUUUUUUCUAACACAUAUAAAGUAAAAAAAGAAAAAAUUAUUAUUAAAAUAAAUUACAAAAUUUAUUUACAAUAGAAUUAAAUUAAAAAAAUUAAAGAGAUAGGACGAAACCGGAAAUUCUCAUAUUUGUUUCAUUCGAAUCUUUUUAGGGUAGAGGAAAAUAUGUUUAAACGAUGGAAUGGGAUUGGGAUAGAGUAACAAUUCGAAUCCACCUCGCUAUCAUUCCUGGAUGUUUGAGCAAUGGGUCUGGUCGAGCAGCCCGACCUGUGGACACUGGGAUCCUGGAGCACAGCGCUGUCCUUCUAGUUAAUAAGUUGGAAUCAUGGUUCGACUUGGUUUCUGUUCACGUCGUAGCCAUUUGCGAUUUGCUCAGUAACACUGGUGACUUAAUCAUGGGCCGUGGGCUGCUUUCAAGACUUGGGCUUUUCAAUUGGAUUCGGCCCAAUUGGGUUUGGACUCAGGUGAUGAAUGAGCCGGCCCAAUCUGGAAAAUGUUGCAUUUAAAGUUUGGACCAUAUUAUCUGUUGGAAGGAAGUUCUGAUUUCUUAAAAUUUUUAUGUUUUUGAAGGUUUAAGGAGUGAGGACUUGAGUGUGGAUUCAUCCCAGAGCAUAGUUUGAUGGAAUGGCUGUGUACAUUCGCCUGAUUCUUUGUAAUAUUAUGUAAAAAAAAAAAUUGAGAUUAAAGAAAAAGUGAAAAACACAUAUGACCAAGCUGAGGCGCUGAAAAGAAAAAAGAAACAAGGCUUUUUAAGGCAGAAGACGGUGAUCUCCUCUCAGUUUCCAGUUUCCGCCAUCCACAGCCAAAUCUCAUGGAUCCCCAUCAACACCAACCCAUUGGACAAGCAGACGAAACCUCACCCCCUCCCUCCAACACCGCUACCACUUCAUGCCGCUGCUGCGGCGGCCCCACCACAUGCCCACCUCCACCGGCAUGGUCCGACAUCUCUCCGCCACCCCCCUACCGCCCCAUCCGCGCCCCCGCCAUCAACCUUCCUCCUUCCAACUCUCAACAAGCUAUCAUCCUAGCCCCCGUUCCUCAAGCCCAGAAGACCCCCGUUGUCUCUCCGCCCUAUCUUUUCCAAAUCCCCGUCAAGCGAAUCCAGACCAGACGACAUUCGCCAUUUCCAUGACUCCGAUUCCGGGAAGAACUUCUUAGGUUUCGUCGUUUCCCUUAGCGAAUCCAUUCGCUCCCACAAAAUUUCCGACCCUUGCCACCAAUCACCAAUCCUCAAUUCUAUUCUCUCCAUCCUUCAAUCUCUAAUCGACUGGGUCGACGAAAUACCUCCCGUUCAACAAUCUUCCCGUUACGGUAAUCUCUCUUUUAGGGUUUGGCAAAGUCGGUUGUUCGAUAAUAGCGAGCAACUGAUGCUCCAAUUCCUCCCCGAUGAUCUCCGGUCGGCUACCGUCGAACUCGUCCCUUACUUUGCCGAUAGUUUUGGGAAUUCGAGUCGAAUCGAUUAUGGAACCGGUCAUGAGACCAAUUUUGCUGCGUGGCUUUAUUGUUUGGCUAGAUUAGGGUUGCUCAAGGAAGAGGAUUACCAGGCUCUUGUUUCUAGGGUUUUUGUGAAGUACCUUGAAUUGAUGAGGAAAUUGCAAUUCGUCUAUUGCCUUGAACCUGCGGGAUCCCAUGGAGUUUGGGGUCUGGACGACUAUCAUUUUCUGCCAUUUAUAUUUGGGUCGUCGCAGCUGAUCGAUCACAAGUAUAUGAAACCCAAGUCAAUUCAUAAUCAGGAUAUUCUGGACAACUUCUCCAAGGAGUAUAUGUAUAUUUCUUGCAUUGCAUUUGUGAAGCAGGUGAAGAAAGGCCUAUUUGCAGGGCAUUCCCCAUUGUUAGAUGAUAUUAGUGGUGUAGCUAAUUGGAACAAGGUGAAUAGUGGGAUGCUCAAAAUGUAUAAAGCUGAGGUGUUGGAGAAGGUUCCAAUUAUGCAGCAUUUCCUAUUUGGGUGGCUCAUCAAAUGGUAUGAUCACUGUUAAUGAGUAAUUAGCCCUGUAUGUGAUUCAUGCAUUUUUAGUUCAUUAUAAGUCAUCCACACUUUGCAUCAUGUUUAAUUGGGAAUCUUAAAAUUAUUACGAGUUUUUAUGGUGUUUUAUGAGCAUAAUCGUUAUAUUUAUAUCGUCUAUAUCAGUAACCUAUAUGGAUAUUUGGUGCUAAACCUGAUAUUUUUGGUCCCUGGAUAUUCAUCUAUUAUUUCAAUGACAAUGUUGGUUGAGGAACAACUCUAGUGUUGAUACCUUGAUCCAUGGGUUUUGUCAGGCUGAGACUUUCAUUAGCUAUUUGAUCCUCACCACCACUGAUUGCUAUACUGAAAUUUUUUUACCUAUGAUUUCUGUUAUCAUUUUAUUUAAAGCAUAGAACCCUACUUGUUAGCUAUAUGAUGUAGAAGUGAUGCACUGAGUCAAUGUUCAUGAUGAAAUAGAACCAAAGAGAUUGGCAUUAUGUUGGGUUGGUCCAUUUUUUUGGAUUCAUUAAAUCUAUCAAAAAUAAAUAAAAUUUGGAUUCAUUAACCAAGUUACUACAUAUGUUCCUUUGAUAUUUAUUAUUUGAGUAAUGUGUGUACAAACUACAAUAAAUAUCAGCCUUUUCAUAAAAAUUUUGCUUGAGUUUUCCUUAUCUCUGCACUUUUAACAUGUGUUAAUCUUUCAACGGUCUGCUUUAGUCCUCAUUCUAAGCUUGUUAAUGUGCCUUUACUUCAAACAUCUUUUCCCACCUUCUGAGUCAUUUCUUUUAAGUCAUGUAUCUCAUCUUAUAGAAAUUCAAGUGUAAUCUAAUGUCUUGAGCCAUUUUAAUUAUUUUAGUUUGAUUUGAUUUAAAAAAAAACUUUAAUGAUCAAAACUUUCAAAUUAUAAUGCAUUUGGCUAGUGAAUAUUACUUAUAAGCCCAAUGUCUCUAGACAAAUAUUUCUGGGUUUUUAAUACAUCUCAUGAGUUCCAUUUGGUAUUCUAGCCCUUUUAGCUAAGUGGUUGCAUUUCUACAUGGGAGGUCUGAGAAUCUCAGAAAGCUAAAACUAAAACAAAGUGAUUUAGUUAGUUAGUGCUUAUAUUCUGACUACUGGUUGUGUAAUAAGCUAAAACUAAAACAAACUCUGAUUUUGUGCCUGACAGCUUGUGCAGACGCUGGUAUAGUGUUUCCUCCAUUUCCAUCAACAACAAAGUCACCAUACCAUACCGGGCUUAAGGGAGGAAACAACCAUGGAAAACUGCUCUGAAGCCCUAAGAGUUUCAAUAAACUUCUGAACAGCCCGUGAUGCAUGAAUUCUUAACCAAGUCUCCAGCUAACACUGCUUGGAGACUCUAAUACCCAAAGUUGACAGAGAUAAGGGCUAAGAUUGUUUUACAGACAGUGAUAUAACAUGCUCAAGGUGAAUGUAAGAUGAGAUAUUCCUGGAUUUAUUAGGAUUGCCAGAAAGUCGAGGAGACUGAACAUUGAAGUAUGAACUCUAUGUGGAGAUGGUGCAAUUCCAGGGGGUUGUGCCCAGAGAUUCAAUGUGUCUAGGCUUCUUUCCCGGUAUACGGAUCAGCAUGUCAUUGCAACAAGCACAGAUUCCAGAAGACCACUGAGAUGGACUAUCACUGGUGUGACGAUGAACAGAGAGGUCACUGUAAUGAGGAAUAAUCUCUAUAUCCUAAUCUGACUGUCCUAAAGGAAUAUAGGGGGUGGUACAUAACUGAUGAUGCAUCUGAUCGGUCAUUACUGGGCUGUGGCACAUGAUGCCAUUCUGAAGCAGGUGGCAUGCUCUUGUUAUCAUUCGACUGAGGAAAGACUGAUGGCACAGAUUGUCCUUUGGCAACCCUCAAUAGAAGCAUAAGUGCGUUUUCGAGGCUCUCCAACAAGUUCAUCAACAUGAGCAGGAGGGAGGUCUUUUAAAGUGUUUUGGUUGUUUUUCCCAUCAAUAGGAGUGGUUCUAUACAGGGGUGAGGGGAGCAAUGACCCAUCUAAAGGUACGUACCUAAAUGACUUUUUUCUAAGAGGAACCCAAAGCCCCCAUUGGUUGGACUAGUUGUCUUGGGUUGUAUUUAACUAUGAUACUCCUUUGGUUAUUUCCUUCUUUGAUAGACAAGGAUAGCACAAAAUUCGUGAUAAUCAAAUAUGAAAUUGUCUAAUGCGUGAUAAAGUUUAAUUCAAGACCUUGCAAAAUUCAAAUAUGCACUUUCCAUCCACAAGAUUUAGCAAACUGAUGGGGCCUCUACCUUCUCUGUACCCUCCAACCGUACUCUGGCGUUUUGUGCUAUGGCACUAUAGACCUUCCAGGCUUUUAGUGCUUCAGGGAAUCCCAUUAUUCAUCUUCUAACCAUAUUUAAGAAAAUAUUUUGUUUUUUGUUGUGCUUUUUUAAGUGGUAUUUGCUAUCAACUUAGUGAUACGAGUCUUUCUUAUCUUGAGAUGUUUCCUUUCAAGGCAAAAAACCUAAAACAAAAGUUUGAAGAGCAACCCUUUUACAUAUUUUUUGGACAGAACGAAGAGAAGGAAAACAAAGGUCUUUUGAUAACGUAGAGUAAAUGUAUCUUUCUUUAACAAAUUCUCUUAUUUGUAAUUCUUUCUCAAGAAAGAUUUUUUCAGGUGAUAUUUGUUUUUUUAACUUUUUACUGAAAAUAAUUUAUUUUUAAAAUUUAGGUUGUUUGUUUUUCUAUUUUUUCAUGACUUAUUAUAAAUUUUUUACUAAUUAGAAAAAACUAAAAUAUAUAACUUUUUUUGAAUAAAAAAAAAUAAUAUAUUGAGUUUUUUUACUUUUUAAUAUUUAAUAGAAAUAAAAUACUAUAAAAAUAAAUAACCUAAUAUUUAACAUUAUAAACAUUAUAGUUUUAUUUAGAAUUAAGUAAAAAAACAAACAUCACCUUAGUAUCUUUGCUAAGUGAGGAAAAUUGUUUUUUUAGUCCUCUCCCUAUACAAUGGUUUACCUCGGUGCAUUUUUAUUUUUUAUUUUUUUAUAAAAUUCUUUUCAUUUGCCUACAUUAAUUUGGAUCUACUCAACUAUAUUUACAUGUCCUUCUGAUGUUUUUCUAAAUGCUUUUGCAGGAAGUGUAUAUAUCACCAAAAGUUAGGGAGAGAAAACGACGAACUGCGGUGGUGCGACGGGUUAAAUGAGAUUGCAUUUAGGCUGGCGUUCUGCAGCUUAACCCAACUGAAACUUGAUCGCAUAGUGACUAUCAUCAUUAUUGAUCACCGAAAACUUCGGUAUGUAUAGGCCUAUUGACACUGACGCUGAUACAAUAGUCAUAAAUAUUAUUUAUUGUUAUAUGUCUUCGCACACAGAGGACAUAUUUUCUGAUCAACAAGUGGCAAUGGCAUCUAGUUAACAUAAUUUUUGUAACAUAUAUCACAAAUGUGAUUCAUCACUCUUCCCCUUUGGAGAAGUAGUUGUGUGAUAGUGCAGCACCCCAUAAAGAGAACGCAAUGCUAGAGAAAAAAUUGGUACCUGUUUUUAUGAGACAAUGGGGCGGCGAACAUAUAUAAAAAAGAUAUGAACCCAUAGAGAUAUUGAAAAAAAUAAAAACGAUAAAGAUAACGUGGUAUAAUUAGUGUCCAUAUAUUUGGCACAUUUUUAAUGAUUUUAUACUUUUCGAGAUCGCCACAUAAAUAAAAAUAUCUUUUAGUCAAAUGAUCAUUUUUACAUUUUCAUGAUAUUGUUAUUAUUUUAUGAUAUGUCUUCUAAAAGCAUUUUUAAUGAGAAUUUUAAAUAUUUUUACAACAUAUUUAACAUUCUUAAUCUAUCAUUAUUAUUCUAUAAAAAUAUGAAAUUUUAUUUCAUAAUUGAAGUAAGAAAACAAAAACAUGUGUCUUAAGGAAAGUAAAAGAAAAAAAUAAGUAAAAGUAAAAAGUAAAUUUAAAAUUAAUAAACUAUUUCUAUAUAUUUAUUUAUUUAUAAUUAAAUCAUUUAAAUAUAUAUAAAGUUGUCAAAUUAAUUUAAAUUAUGUGUAAUCUUAUUUCCAAAAUUCUACCAUAAACCAAACCCCUGAACAUCUUUUUUUUUCCUUUAUUUAAUAUUAUUGUCUGAAACAAUAUUAAAGAAACAAACCACAACAUGAACCAUAGUAAGAAAUAUGGAAACAAGGCAGGAAAGGUGCAAAAAACUAGAUUGGAAAGUUGAGAUCUAGAGAAGCACUUGUUCAAAUAUUUUCUCCAAAUUCAAGUAAGAUGAUCCAUCUGGACCAGUGGUAGCCACUUCUGCCCUAUGCUUCCACUCCAUGGUUUUCUUUUUCAUUACUUUGCCUUUCUCUCCCACCAUCAACUCUCUCACAAGCUUUGCAACUUCAUCCCUCUUAACAUCACUGUCUAUCUCCAUUCCUACGCCCCACUCAGUGCAGCAGUAACGACAGUUGGUUUGCUGCUCUGCAAAAAAUGGCCAACAAAUCAUAGGCACUCCAGCGCAUAAACCCUCAAUUGUGGAAUUCCAGCCGUUAUGAGUUAAGAAGCCGCCAAUGGCCUGGUGCGUGAGAACUUGCUCUUGAGGACACCAACCUGCUAGUAAACCCCUGUCUUCUGUUUCUGCCACGAAUUCUGGUGGCAGAAUGGCCGACUCACCAGACACGAGAUCUGGCCUAAGAAUCCACAAGAAGCUUUGAUUGCUAUUUGCAAGUCCCCAAGCAAACUCAAUCAGUUGCUGGGGAGUCAUGACUGUGAUGCUUCCAUAAUUAACGUAAACAACAGAGUUGGGUUCUUUGGAAUCCAGCCAUUUGAGACACUCAGGCUCUUCCUUCCACAGAUUUGAUCCAAUCAACUUUAGUUCGCUAUCGUGAAUCUGAUCCGGAAGUAGCUGAAGAGGACCAAUGGUGUAGAUUGGGGGAUACAUGGGAGCAAUUGCAUCCAAAACCUCCUGCUCUAAAGCGUCAAACGUAUUGAAAAUGAUGGCAGAAGCCUUGCGAGCCCUUUCAAGCUCACCCAUGGCAAAGUCCAGCAUGAUAUCAUCUGGAUCGGUAGUCCGAAUGAAGCUCGGGAGAUCCUUCAAACGGAUACCUUUCAUGCCCGGUAUCCAAUCAACAACAGUAUCCAAAUACCCAUUUGUUAGAUAACUCUCAUCUGCAUAUCACAGAAGAAGGAAAAAUGAAAAAUCAGAGUCGGUAGGAGACUGGGAUUUGAAAAACUUGUAUUCAAAGCCGAACUUGGAAUAAUACCUUUGAGUGGUGUAAAACCCUUGUCGAUGAGACUGCGAUACUGCACAUAGGCCAUGAAGCCACAAGCACUAGCUGUCCAUAAAAGAAGGUCGGGAAUGCCGAGUUCUUGAGCCGCGUCUAAAGUGAAGCUCAUGACAGCGUCAGAAAAUAUGCAAGUGACGGGAGGACCUCUGUCGUUGAGUUUGGCGAGAAGGCGUCUAAAGGGAGCCAAACAGUUUUUUUUGGUGGAUGCACAGAGGGAAGGGAUGUCUUGGGUUGCGUCGACAUUGGACGGUGGGAGACCAUCGGGAAUGGUUUCGAACUGAAAGGUGGGGAGACCAUUGAGGGAGUUGGGGCCCUGGGCCUUGAGUAAGCGUGUGUGGUUGAACUCUGUGUUGACAAAGGUGAUACGAAAGCCUCUGAAAUGGAGGAGCUUUGCUACUUUUAGCAUAGGAUUGAUGUGCCCCUGAGCAGGGUAUGGAAUGCAAACUGCAUGAGGCUUCUCCAUGGAACCCAUUUUUGCUUUGGGAUGCCCUCCCGAUACAUCUGCCUCCAAUUUUAUAGAGUUUUUGAAUAUGGCAUCUAAGCUGUUUUUUUUUUUUUUUUUUCAAAAAAAAAAAAUCAUUGAUAAUACUGAUUUAAUCUAUGAAAUAAAACCGUCUCUGUCUAUAUUGGUUUUUAUUUGAAGUUGAAUAAAGAACCUCCGUCAUCGGUUUUGGUUCAAGUGUUUUUUAAAAAUCAACUUAAAAUCGCAUGUGCCAAAUCGAUUUAACUUUUUUCGAAAAGUCAAUUUCCGAGGCCACAGAAAGGCGGAAAGCAAGGGAGGUUGGUGGAACACCCUUUCCCUUUUUAAAACGGUACCGAACUCACUAAUUUAAUUGCACGAUCGAAGCUGGAAAUAUUUUGUUAUAAUUAAUCAAUCCUGUGCUGCAGCAACGUCUUCCACCUACACUUUUUAUCUUCAAAUCACAGUCGACUGGAAGGAUUAAGUCAUGCGGGAUCCCUUGUUAUUCAUGUAAAAGAAAAAGCCCGCGUUGGAGCCAGGGACUUCCUGUUUGUUUUUCCUGUCACGAUUGAGUGACCGCUAUCCAUGAAAAGUACGAGAAAGAACGUGACAAACUAGGAUCUUGUCAUGAGCCUCUAUCAUCUUCCGUUGAGAAUAAUGAAUUUACCACCUAUAUAUGUUAAAGCUGAUGCUCUGUUUAAAAAUUUUGGACGGCCGCUGCCCUUCCUAGCAUCAAUAUAUUGCACUGCCACGAAUCCAAAGCAAAUCUUUCUCGUUUGCAUCAGACUUUGUUUAAAAAAUGGAACUCAUAGAACUCCGCAGCUGCCCAACUAAUUAAAUCAGAGGACUAAGUUAUCGUCCAUGAAUUUAUUACUGAUAUGAACGUUAUAUAAUAUAAAGAUAAGAGAAGUGAGAGGGUAAGUUGACCAUGCACUCUCAUCUAGAUAUUAUAAUCUUCAACCAGCUCAUCCCUAAUAGGCCUCCCCUGAUAUUGGCUUCUGACUUCUGUGACUGUCUUGCAUAAUGCAUGAUGUCAAGCGAAGAAAGUGUUGGUAAUUUUUUUACUGGAAUUCAAAGAAUUGGAGAUUCGAACAAAAGAAAUGAAUGAUGAAUGAAAACCAUGUUCACGGUAUAGGAACUGCAGCCAAGUAUUGACUAGCAGGUGGAAUGAUACCAUCAGCGCCGAUUGCCUUGAAUAGUUAGUAUGCAUCCUUACUCCUUACCCAUCAUUAUCCAUCAAUUAUCUAGUAUUUAUUAUGAGUGACCAUAUAUUCGCCCACUUGUGCAGGCCCUGCAGAAGAAUAAAUUGAUGAUAUGAACUACUUUUUUAAAAAUAUCUUCCGAGUCUGGCUUGACAUCGAAAUUGAAACAGAGUAAUAAAUUGUACAAUGCCCAAUUCUCUUGGUCUGUGUGACAGAACGGACAUCUUGCUGAUCACUCCAAAGAAAAGAAUACGCAUUGCACCAUAAAAUAAUACAGUCAAGUAUUAUUGCGUCCCUCUUACGUACAUUAGAUUGAUACACUUUUGGAUAGGUUUCUGAAUUGAGAUACUUUGGAUAGUUUGGGCGGCUGGCUGACUCUCUCGUGCUUGGCCAAAUCCUUAAAACCACCUAAUAAAAUACAAACUAAAUUAAUUCAUGAUAAAAAGAAAAAUAAUAAGAGAAAUAGAAAUAGAAGGAAGAGACAUAUUUUCUUACCUAUGUCUUUAGAUAUGAUAAUUAAUUCACUAAUCUUCAAAAUCUAAAAUUGGCUAAAACUCCAACAACUUUGUAUAAAGUCAUUUUUAUACCCUUUGACUAAAGGACUUAUAUAUUCAUAAUAUCCCGAACUUUACAAAAUCAAUUCAUAAUCCUUGUGGGACAAGGAAUCGUAAAAUAUCAUAUCUUAAUUGAGUUCAAAAUUAACAAGCCAAUGUUAUUAUAUUGAUAUGUUUUGUAGCAUUUUCUAGAUGGUUAACGAGGGAUAUGAAUUUAUUUUAGGGGUUCAAAAAUAAAACAAAAUGGGCAUGUAACAUAAUGGGAACUAUGGAUUUGAUGCAAAUGCCUUUCGAAAUAGAUCAAAUCAUCAUUCUUGCUGUAUAAGGAAAUUUAGAGAAAAAAAUAUGGGUUAAACUUCUUUUAACUUGUCUUAUUUCUCAAUUAAUUAUCACUUAUCAUUAACUACGGAUAAACAUGAAAGGAAUAAAUACCCAUGUUGUUAAAUGAAGAUUUAAUCUCUAAAUUUAGAUAGCAUAUAUUUUUAAAUUUUGAAAAAAAAAAUGUCCCAAAAAACAUGAGGGCCAAGUCUAAUUAGACUCAAAGAUGUUGACAACUUAGAAUAAUAUUUCGAAUAAGAAUUUAAUGCAUCAAUUUGCUUUAUUAUUUAUUUGUCAACAUGUAUGCAGUAAGUUAUUAUUAUGACUUAAUUAUUUUCAAUCAAAUGUUCUACUAUAUGAUUGGAUUUAAUAUUUACAUUUGAGUGGGUGUAAUCCCCAGGAUUCGAACUUGGGUCCAAGCCUUAAAGUUUAGGACGUUGCCCUCCUAGUACCAUCUGGGCUACUAGCUCAGAUGGUACCAAGAGGGCAACGUCCUAAGCCUUAAGGCUUGGACUCAAGUUCGAAUCCUAGGGAGACCACUCUGUGAUGCCCCUGACUGGCACAUAGACUUUUUUUGCUCUGGUGCCCAACCAUACCAUCGAACUGUGCCAGACGAGGGCAUCACAGGAAUGGGCCGGACAGCGUAGAGUCUUAUAGGGCCAUUUGUUUAUUUGGCCCUUGGGUGACGUCUCCAGGAUUCGAACUCGGGGCCUUAACCCAGACAGUUGCCCUCCUGGUACCAUCUAGGCUACUAAUGUUGAGGUCUUGCGUCAUGAUCCACAUAACUACCAAAUGGACGCACACUUUCAACCAAGAUAGAGUUCUGGUUCAGUUUUCCCUGCAAAAGAUGUCCGGACAGGGUGUCCAGACACACCCUCCAAUGGUUUUUUCAGUCAUGGUUAGAGAGAUUAAGCAGUUGGCCUUUUACUAGGUAUAGCAAGCUUACCUUCCUCCUUAUGUGAAGGUCCUUAUAUAUAGUAUCAGAAGUUCUGCUUCCCUCUUUAAUGGUAGGGAGACUUUUUGACUCGUCAUGAUGCCUCUAGGUGGUGGCAGGGCUAUCAUCACCCUACAGGUGGCUGUCAGAGAUCGUGGGAAGUGACUUGCCAUCAUUCAUGUCCUUUCGCUCUACAGGUGGCGGAACGUGGGUUGUGGCAGGCUGUCGGAAUGAUGUAGUAAGACUUACUUACUUUAGUCAACGAUCCGGACAACAUAUCCGGAUAGGAUAUGCUAUCGUCCGGAUGUGAUGUUUGCGAGUGCCGUGUGCUUCUCCCUGAGGAAGUCCGGAUGGAGUCACUCCGGACAGCGAGGCGCCCACGUAUCAUAAGGGGGAGGGGUCCCUACAAUGAUGAGCAGUGCAUAAAUACAUUUCCACUUUAUUCACCUUACUAAUACUACAUUUAAAUAUGGUGCACAAAAGUUCAUCAUAAAACAAGGAAAGGAACGUGCGGAUGCUAAGUUUUAACUUGUUGGAAUGCUUGGGAUUUGGAGAAACACUUGAUUUAUCAUUUUGUCCAAGUUGGAGUAAGAUGAGCCAUUUGAAUCAAUGGUGGCCUUUUGUGCCAUCUUCUUCCACUCCAUGGCCUGCUUUUUCAUCUCUUUGCCUUUGUCUCCCUCGAUCAAUUCUCUCACAAGCCUCUCAACUUCAUCUCUCUUAACGUCACUGUCGAUCUCCGUGCCUAUGCCCCAUUCUGUGCAACAGUAGCGGCAGUUGGUUUGCUGCUCUGCGAAAAAUGGCCAGCAAAUCAUGGGCACUCCUGCACUCACACUUUCCAUAGUGGAAUUCCACCCGUUGUGAGUUAAGAACCCACCAACGGCAGGGUUGCUGAGAACUUCCUCCUGAGGACACCAACUUGCUAGCAGACCCCUGUUUUUGGUCUCUGCCAAGAAUUGUGGCAGAAGAAUGGCCGACUCACCAGACACAAUAUCCGGCCUUAUUAUCCAUAAGAAUGUUUGAUUGCUAUUUGCCAGUCCCCAAGCAAACUCAUUGAGUUGAUCUGUUGUCAGGCUUGUCACGCUUCCAAAAUUCACGUAAACAACAGAGUUGUGUUUUUUGGAGUUGAGCCAUUCGAAAAAACCCCAUUCUUCUUUCCACAGAUUUGAUCCAAUCAACUGCAAAUCAUUAUCUUGGACCUGAUUCACGAGUAGACUUAAAGGACCAAUGGUGUAAAUUGGAGGAAACAUUGGUGAAAGUGCAUCCAAAACAUCCUUCUCGCAUCAAACGUAUUGAAAAUGAGGGCAGAAGCUUUGUGGGCUCUUUCAGCCUCAUGCAAUGGAAAGUCCAGCAUAAUUUCAUUUGGGUCUGUAGUUCGAAUGAAGCUCGGGAUGUCCUUCAGACGAAUACCUCUCAUACCAGGUAUCCAAUCAAUAACGGUGUCCAGAUACCCAUUUGUUAAGUAACUGGGGUCUUCAUGUCACAGAAAAAACAGAUUCAAAAAAAAAAAAAAAAAAAAAAAAUACAAGAAUCGGUACUGCUAACUCGGAUUUGAAAAUGUAUAUGCAAAUUGGGGUUUAGGUUGAUACCUUUAAGGGGUAUAAAACCCUUGUCGAUGAGAUUGCGAUACUGCAAGUAGCCCAUGAAGCCACAAGUACUAGUUGUCCAGAAAAGAACGUCAGGAAUGGCCAGUUCUUGGGCAGCAUCAAGAGUGAAGCUCAUGGCACCAUCAGAGACUAUGCAAGUGACAGGAGGCCCGUCGUGGUUAAGUUGGGAAAGAAGGUCUCGAAAAGGAUCUAAGCAGUUUUUUCUGGUGGAGGCGCAGAGGUAGCGGAUAUCUUGGGUGGCGUCUUCAUCGGACGGAGGGAGACCAUCGGAAAUGGUUUUGAAUUGGAAGGAAGGCAGAUCAUCAAGGGAGUUGGGGCCACGGGACUUGACCAGGCGCUUAUGGUUAAACUCCGUGUUGACGAAAGUAAUAUGUAAGCCUUUGAAACAGAGGAGCUUUGCUAAUUUUAGCAUAGGGUUUAUGUGGCCUUGAGCUGGGUAUGGUAUGCAAACUGCAUGAGGCUUCUCCAUGGAGACAACUCAGCUCUUUAUCUUUGCUCUCUCUUCCAGUCUUGUAUAUCAUCGUGCCGACCCAGCUCCGGUCUUAUAGGGCGGGAGAGAGAGGGUCUCUACACAAUAUGUUUAACUCUCGAAAAAUAUUAUUAAGGAAAAAAAAUUAUUUAAAAAAAUAUUUUUUUUAUAUUUAACUUUACUAUAAAAAAUUUCAAAAAAAAAAAAUCAAAUACAAUUAAAAUUAAUUAAACUUCAUUUAUAUUAAAUUUAUUUAACUUAUUAAUAAAAAUAAUUAAAAAAUAAUUUAUUAAUCUUAAAUUUAUUUUUUACUUUUUAUUAUUUUUUUCUCUUUCAAAUUUUCAGAACCAAACACAGCGUUAAAGAACACGCAUGCAGUCAUUUUUCACAUGCGAGGAUGUUGAUGGGUGUUGUCGACCACCUAACUCUCACAGUUUAAAUAAUAUAUAUAUAUAUUUUAAAAUUUUAACUACUUUUUUUUUUUAUGUAAAAGAACCCUACUUUUACUGUACCAGAGGUGAUGUCUUUUUGUUGGAAUUAGUAUCAAAUGGAUGCUUCAUUGUACCUAAGUUAAAGCAUGCUUAAAUUUUAAUUCUUGUAUAUCUUGUUUUCUGCAGGAUAUUAGAGUAAAACAGGUUUCACGCAUUAUUGGACGAUCACGCCAUUUCUCUUCCAGAGUUGGAAAGUCCAACGGAGAGCAGAACUCGUUUUCAAUGACUCAAUUAUUUUCCGUUGAUUCCGUUGAUUAGACGGGAUAGCAUCAUGGUAGGCCAGACGGGAUUUAGUCGGACUGAAAACUCAAUAAUUUAGACGUACACAACUUUAGAAAAGGAAUUGGGUUAUUGAGGACGAGGUUCGGAAAGGAAGUGGAAUUAGGACAAAAAUAGAAGACGAGUGAAAGACUCGGUUGAGGAACUGAGAACCAUGUUGAUGAGUAAUGCUGCGCGCAAGGCAAAGAACAAAAAGUAUGAUACAAGCACCCCGAAUCCUUGCGGUUUCUCCGUGUACCCGUCUUUUGUUUCCAAGGAAAGUGACGUUGGAGUAGUGAUUAUCCUGAGGCACAUUGCGACUCCCGUAAAGAUAACAAACUGCACCCUUUCUUGCUCUUGGUAUACCAUUUCUGAUUUCCAUGAUUAGCAAAAUCAGAAAAAUUUCUCCUGUUAUAGAAUAGAUAGCUAAAUUAGAAAAGUCAAUCUGUACAUAGCGUGAUGAGGUCCCUCAAUUUCUCCCAUCUCUUUUUACUCACUCUCAAAGCAGUAGGAAAAAGUAAACUGAUCCCCAUGCUGUCGUCGGCCUUACCCAGGAUAAAAAACUGUUGAUGUGGAAUCGUGUACUGCAAAUAAAUGAAGCACAUGUUCCAUGUGGUUUCAGAUGCGUUUUGCAUGCGUAUGGACACGACAAAUUGGCUUUCAUGCAAGUAGGAUCAAUUAUAACUCAAUCUUUAAUGAAAUAUUCUUAAUAGUUUUUUUUACCAAAAAAUUAUAUACUAACUAAAAGUUUGAAGUACUUUUUAUAUGAAGAACACAGCAUUACAAAAUAUCUUCAAUAUUCAGGUACAGCAUGAGUAUUUUUUUAUUUCGUAAACAAUACGUCAGACUAUUGAAAACAACAAAUGAAGCAUCCAGAGCAAAAUAAUAGACGAGUCAGAAUUCGCUGAGUUGGGACAUUCGAGAAAGGAGUGUCUAGGGUCUAGAGAAGAGCUUGAGUGAUCAUUUUGUCCAAGUUCGAGAAAGACGACCCCUUGGGACCUCUAGUGGCCUCUUCUGCUAGAGUCUUCCACUCCAAGGCCUUCUUCUUCAACUCUUUGCCUUUCUCUCCCUCCAUCAACUCCUUCACAAGCCUUUCAAUUUCAUCUCUCUUAACAUCGCUGUCUAUCUCCAUGCCUAUGCCCCACUCAGUGCAACAGUAGCGGCAGUUGGUUUGCUGCUCUGCAAAAAAGGGCCAACAAAUCAUAGGCACUCCAGCGCUCACACUUUCAAUUGUGGAAUUCCAUCCGUUGUGAGUUAAGAAGCCGCCAACAGCCGGGUGACUGAGAACUUGCUCUUGAGGACACCAACCUGCUAACAGACCCCUCUCUUUCGUCUCUGCCACGAAUUCUGGUGGAAGAAUGGCCGCGUCACCGGACACAAGAUCUGGCCUAAUUAUCCAUAAGAACGUCUGAUUGCUAUUCACAAGUCCCCAAGCAAACUCAUUGAGUUGCUGCGAUGUCAUCACUGUGAUGCUCCCGAAAUUCACGUAAACAACAGAGUUGGGCUCUUUGGAGUCCAGCCACUCCAGACAUUCCGGCUCUUCUUUCCACAGAUUCGAUUCCAUCAACUUCAAAUCGUUAUCUUGGAUCUGACUCAUGAGUUGGUGCAGGGGACCGAUGGUGUAGAUUGGGGGAAACAUCUGAGAAAGUGCAUCCAAAACUUCAUGCUCUAGAGCAUCAAAUGUAUUGAAAAUGAGGGCAGAAGCCUUGCGAGCUCUUUCAGCCUCCCGCAAUGGAAAUUCCAGCAUAAUUUCAUUUGGGUCCGUAGUUCGAAUGAAGCUUGGGAUAUCCCUCAAACGGAUACCUUUCAUACCCGGUAUCCAAUCAAUAACGGUAUCCAGAUACCCAUUUGUUAGGUAACUCUCAUCUGCAUUUCAUAGAAAGGAGGGGAAAAAAAUAUGAGAAUCCGUAUUGAGCUUAGCUUUGAAGUAAUUAAAUGCAAAGUUGGUCAGUAUUUGAUUCAUUUGAAUGAUACCUUUGAGUGGAGCCAAACCCUUAUCGAUAAGAUUGCGAUAUUGCACGUAGCCCAUGAAGCCGCAAGCACUAGUUGUCCAGAAAAGAACUUCAGGAACGCCAAGCUCUUGAGCAGCAUCAAGAGUGAAGCUCAUGGCGCCAUCAGAAACUAUGCAAGUGACUGGAGGGCCAUCGUGGUUGAGGUUGGAAAGAAGGUCUCUAAAGGGAGGCAGGCAGUGUUUUCUGGUGGAGACACAGAGGGCGGGAAUGUCUUGGGUGGCAUCAACAUUGGAGGGAAGGAGACCAUCGGGAAUGGUCUUGAAUUGGAAGGAGGGGAUGCCCUUGAGGGAGUCUGGACCCCGAGAUUUGAGCAGGCGGUUAUGGUUGUACUCUGUGUUGACAAAGGUAAUGUGGAACCCUCUGAAAUGAAGGAACUUAGCUAGUUUUAGCAUAGGGUUUAUGUGGCCUUGUGCUGGGUACGGUAUGCAAACUGCAUGUGGCUUCUCAGCUGAGGCUAAGGAACCCAUUCUCUCUCUCUCUAUCUCUCACUUUCACUCUGUCCUCAAUUGGUAUAUGCCCAUGACAUUGGAAGUAGCUUGGGUUUUAUAGCCCCAGGAGAGAGGGUCAAACAAGUUACUUAUAUUUAUAUAUAUAUUAAAGACAGAAGUCAGAAGUCAAAUAAAUGCUGCAAUAUUAAUAUAUGUACAGCUGUAUCAGAGAGUAACUAAAGGUCAAACUUGGCUCUCUCCUUUAUCUAGGUUAACCCACCUGUCCUCCAUACUUCACGGCAGGUGCCUAAUGCUUUUCAUAGGAGAUGUACAACAGAUUCAAUAUUUACACAAUUAUCAACUUUUAAUUACCUACCCCUUUAAUAUAUUACUCUUAAGCAAUAUAAACGAUAUACAAAUACCUAUUUUUGUAAUGCAGUAGGAUCUUGACAAUCAAUUAUUUGGUCCUGAUCCUGGAACCAUGUAUCAACAGCCGGUCACCCUUUAAAAAUCAUGAAUUAGACAACCCAUGCUUUUUUCGGACAAAAAACAACCGACAAGGGAUUUCCACAACUUUUUCUAAUGGAUGAACAUACCUUUUCUGUAUCUCUUUAUGUACAUAAACCAAUAAUUUGGGCAGUCCAAAAGCUUUGCGGAUUCUAUGUGGGGCUAAAUGGUAUCAUUCAUCUUCUGUGUUGGCCCGCAGUCGACAUGGCACAAGAACUUCACAAUUUGUACUGGUAUGGAGUUUAUUUUCUUAUUAAGAAUGUUUGUCCAAACCGAUAUGAUAUAUGGUUUGUAUUUGUGAAAGAAAUAUCUUCAAAUUCUGAAAAGGCAUAAACCUAACCCCGCCGCAAGCUAAAAGUUGACCAAAGAAAGUCGAUAAGCUUUUAAAACUCGUUCCAAGUUGUCGGAUGUCCACACCUAUAUAUUAUUAUUUAUAGGUGUGCGAAUGGAUGAGAAAUCUAUUAUAUAUGAUGUUAAUGGUUAAGUCGGACCCAUACAAACAAAAGAUGAAGUCGGUAUAUAUAAUGGAAACAAAGAGGUGGAAACAAAGAGGUGCUAAUCGCUAUGAAUUGAAGACAGAAUGCAUCCACCCCAUACAAAAAUGUCGACCAUAAGAUGAAAUAAAAUAUUUAGAGAAGAUAAAUGUGAGGGCGGUGACAAGAUUGAGGAGCUUAAAACAAUGAUUAAAAUAUAGGGAUAUUUCAACGAUGUGUCUGUGUCGAUAUGAGCUAUUUACAUGCUGUCCGGCGAGUUGAAGCUUCAACCAUCCACAUUACUGUUGAGGCAAGUUUUCCCCUUGUUAAUAAUCUUACACUAUAUAUAUAUAUAUAUUAAAAGUUUUCAUAUACACUAAAUAUUUAAACAAUUAAUUAAUUAUAUUUAUUUUAUAAUUAAAUACAAAAUUUUCAUUUAAUUGAGUAAUAAAAAGUUUUUAAUAUCAUUAAUAUAUUAAUUAAAUAUUAAAAAAUUAUACAUUUAUCAUCAUUUAUUUUAUAUCAUUUAAUACAAUUAAAUUAAAUAUAUUAUAAUUUUAAUAUUAAAUAUAUUUUAAAAUUAAAUAUAUUAUAAUCAAAUAUCAUAAUAUUAUUAUCGAAUAAUAUUUGAUGUAAUUUAAUAAUUAAUAUACACUUUUAUACAUAUGUAUUAAUUUAUUCAAUAAAACAAAUUUAAAAUAUCUAUUACAUUUCUAAUUUAAUUUUUAAAAACUUUAUUUUAUAUUUUUAAAAGUUUUGAUCAAUUUUAAGUCGAUCAAUUUUUUGUAUCAAAAUAUCCAUCAAUAUAUUUUCGAUAUAUCCGUAAAAUCGAAUUAUCGAUAUAUUAGUGAUUACCGAUAAUUUUAUCAUUGGCUUAAAAGAGAAGUGAUGCUAUGGGACCAAAAAAAAAAAAUCUGAUCCUGUGAGAGAUUCCUUGGGGGGUCUGAAUGUUUUUGCUGGCUUCCUUUGCCAUUCUUUCACGUACCUUAUGUUCGCAUUCCUGGAAAGACAACUCCCAUUUUCAUUCUUUCCUUUCAUUCAAUCAUUACGAAGACCACAAACUUCAGUAUUGUACGGCUUUAUCUGGGUCUAAAUUUUCUGGUCAUUUUCUUGAUCCUUCCGUGAACCAUUGGAACGCCAUGGAGCUUAACUUCUUGUUUAUAUAUAUAUAUAUAUAUAUGAACAUCAAAUGCAGGUAAGUUAGGACAUUGUAGGGACCCCUCCCUCCGAGACACGUGGCACGCAUCUUACAGUGACACGUGGCACGCAUUGUCAUCCAGGUCAUUUUCAUCCGGACCUUCUCAUAAAGCACAAUGGCACGCUUUUCCGGACUACCUCAAGGAAGAUCAAACGACACUUAUAAGCAUAUCAUCCGGACGAUUUACACAAUGCAUCCGGAUGAUCAACAUAGGCCGUCCGGAUACAAUGGUCCGGACCACUAACUAAAGUAUAGCGAGUCUUACACGCUAUCACGACAACCAGCCAUGGCCCACGUCCCAUCACCUGCAGAGUGAAAGGACGGGUUGAGGUGACAACAAGUCACUUCCCACGAUCAUUCUACAUGAUCACUUCCCACGAUCAUUCUACAUGAUCACUUCCCACGAUCUCUAAGCAGCAGCAUCACCUACCACGGUUUCUGACAGCCGCCAGUAGGGUGGCGAUGACCAUGCUGCCUCCGAAUGUCAUCAUGACAAACAUAAAAUAUCUCCUCGCCAUUAAUGAGAGGAACAAUACUCCUAGCACUAUAUAUGAACCUUCGCACGAAGAAGAAGGUAAUCUCCAGAUACCGAGUAAAAGGCCAACUGAUUUAUAUCUCCCUCUCUAGCCAUGGCUAACAAAACCAUUAGAGAGUGCGUCCGGACACUCUGUCCGGAUGCCUUUUUGCAGGUAUAACGACUGAAUCAAGAACCUUUGUGUGUUGAGAUCGCGUCUCCAUCCAUUUGGCAACUACGUGGAAGCCCAGGAGUGCGAGGUAUUAACAUUGGCGCCGUCUGUGGGAACAUUUUUACUUUGAUUCAGUCACCAAAAAAGAUGGCUACACCUUCCCGAAGCCGAUCAUCUGGUAAAGGAGUGGAUGGAUGAUAAUUUUGAAUGACGUCAAACCAUCGAAAGAAGACAGUUGGCAAGCGAACGACAACUAAAAGCUCUCCUCCAAGAGACAGAAAGAUUGAGAGAAGAAAACACUGUAUUACGUAUCCAGGUUUCAACAUCAGGGCCUCCUCGACGUCGGCAUUCAAGGGGCCAAGUAGCAAACUCGAGGCCUCAGUAAGAGCCGGAAUCAAUAUAUCCUGGGACAACAGGGGCUAUCCCAGGGGCAUGCAACGUAAGGCCUCACGAGCCACGCACGCCUAUGCCUCGAGCUCCCCGUGAUGAAAGCUCAGACUCUACUCACUUUUCAGCAAAAAGACAACGUGAUAAAAAAUCACAGUUGUCAAAUUCGAUGCGCGCAAGACUAGGCCCGCAAGAGCCUAGAAGAUCAAGGCCACCAAUGGCCACAACCUGGGCACCACGCCCUGACCCCAUGGCCACCCCCAUGGUGCAAAACGUUCACCCGCAUCGUGACCCCGUAGUCACCCUCGUGAUGCGGAACGUUCAUUCGCACCCAGCGGAACGACCAGCUGGGAGAAACAUCCCAAACGAGCCGAUCAUUGGCUCCAUCAGCAAAAGGCUGGAUGACAUGCUCUCCACGCCUUUUUGCUCUCAUAUCAUUAAUUACGAGCCCCCAAGGGGAUUCCUCGUACCAAAGUUUUCCACAUACGAUGGAACCAACGAUCCCUUCGAUCACAUCAUGCAUUAUCGACAGCUUAUGACGCUCGAUAUUGGCAACGAUGCACUGCUAUGCAAAGUAUUUCCCGCCAGCUUACAAGGACAGGCCCUCUCAUGGUUUCAUCGCCUACCUCCCAACUCUGUUGGCGAUUUCAGGGACCUGUCCGAAGCUUUCGUGGGACAAUACUUGUGCUCCGCACGACACAAGCAAAAUAUCAGCACCCUGCAGAACAUAAAAAUGCAAGAUAACGAAUCCUUGAGGGAAUUCGUGAAGCGAUUUGGCCAGGUCGUGCUUCAAGUAGAGGCUUGUAGUAUGGAUGCUGUCCUACAGAUCUUCAAGCGAAGCAUCUGUCCAGGCACUCCAUUUUUCGAAUCACUGGCUAAAAAGCCUCCUACAACGAUGGAUGACUUAUUCAGACGAGCCAACAAAUAUUCAAUGCUCGAAGAUGACGUACGUGCAGCCACCCAGCAAGUUUUGGUUGCCGGACGGCCAUCUAGAAGUGAUGCGGAGAGAAAUACUAAGCCUUCGGAUCGACCAAAGCCGUCUGACCGAAGGCAGGAAGGGCCAAGUCGCUCGGAAAGGCCGCCUCUCACACCUCUUUCCAUAUCAUAUGAAAAACUUCUCCCCAUGAUCCAAGGCUUGUCUGACUUCAGGUGGCCAAGACCCCAAGGAACAGACCCCUCCACAAGGGAUCAUAGCAAGAGAUGUGUCUUCCACAAAGAUCAUGGCCAUACAACAGAGACAUGCCGAGCUUUCCAGUUUCUGGUCGAGAGGCUUAUAAAAGCAGGGCAUUUGAAGCAAUACCUCCGAUCAGAUAAUGGAGAAAGGGACGCAUCCCAACAUCACAACCCCGGGGCCCCUAGGGCCCCAACUGCCCCCAAGGCCAUUAUAAACUAUAUUAACGGAAGUCCAUCUGAUGAGGAGUACGACUCUAGGCGAAAGAGACAAAAAUUGUUGCGGGCCGCAUCAAUACGCGAACGCAUCAAUUCCAUCCGACCUGGGCUAACUGGAGGGGGCCCUCGCCCCAUAGAUGGGACAAUCAUUUUCCCACCAGUAGAUCCCACCAGGACACUGCAACCACAUCGCGACGCCCUCAUCCUGUCCCUGGAAAUUGGGGGCUUUGAUGUGCGGCGUAUCUUAGUUAACCCAGGCAGCUCGGCCGAUCUUAUACAAGCAUCAGUCGCUAGCCACAUGGGACACAGUCUCACAGUCCUUGAAAACCCUGGACAAAUCUUGUCCGGAUUCAACGGAUCGUCAACUAUAUCUUUGGGAGACAUUGUACUGCCGGUCCAAGCUGGCCCAGUCACUCUCAACGUGCAAUUCUCGGUAGUACAAGAGUUAUCACCCUUCAAUAUCAUCUUAGGGCGCACAUGGCUACACUACAUGAAAGCCAUCCCCUCUACAUAUCAUCAAAUGGUGAGUUUCAUCACCAGCGAGGGGCAGAUUGACCUGUAUGGCAGCCAGUUAGCCGCUCGCCAAUGCUAUCAAAUAGCACGAGAGGCAGGGGCCAACCAGGAGGAUGCAUCUCCCCCUGAACCCAACAUUGCACAUGACCAAUAGCAAUUAUUGGGUCGGGCGGACAAAGAUCCCCCGGCAGCAGAUCCUUUACAAACAAUCCAAAUUUCGAAGGAAAGCACUCACCUUACAAACAUCAGCUUCCUCAUGACAGCCGAAAAAACUCAGUGUAUGCAAAACAUUCUCAGACAGAAUCAUGACAUCUUCGCAUGGGCACAUUCUGAUAUGAAGGGAAUUCAUCCCUCUAUUGCAUCUCACAGGCUUAACGUCUUUUCAACUGCCAGACCCGUCCGGCAGAAAAUUAGGCGUUUUCACCCGGAUAGACAAAAAGUCAUCCGAAAUGAGAUGGACAAAUUGCUCGAAGUCGGAUUCAUCAGAGAAGUUUCUUAUCCGGAGUGGUUGGCAAAUGUAGUGGUGGUACCCAAAAAAGAAGGAAAGUGGCGAGUUUGUGUAGACUAUACCAAUCUCAAUAAUGCAUGUCCAAAAGACAGUUUUCCCUUGCCACGAAUAGAUCAGAUUGUGGAUUCCACGUCCAGGCAAGGGAUGCUCUCUUUCUUGGAUGACUUCUCCGGAUAUCAUCAAAUCCCCAUGUCCCCGGACGAUGAAGAAAAGACAGCAUUCAUAACGCCACACGACCUCUAUUGCUACAAAGUCAUGUCAUUCGGACUCAAAAAUGUUGGUGCCACUUAUCAAAGAUUGAUGACUAAAAUCUUCGAACCUCUAAUAGGCCACACGGUAGAGGUAUAUAUUGAUGAUAUCGUGGUUAAAAGCAAAACCCGAGAGCAGCAUGUCCUUCACUUACAAGAAGUUUUUCACCUCUUACGAAAGUAUGGCAUGAAGCUAAAUCCUUCUAAAUGCGCAUUUGGCGUAAGUGCUUGCAAAUUUCUGGGAUUUAUGGUCAGCCAAAGGGGCAUAGAAGUCAGCCCGGAUCAAGUCAAAGUAGUCAUGGAAACACCCCCUCCCAGGAACAAGAAGGAGCUACAACGACUCAUAGGCAAGCUCGUCGCACUAGGGCGUUUUAUAGCCCGCUUCACUAAUGAAUUGCGACCCUUCUUCUUGGCAAUACGAAAAGCUGGAGCACAUGGAUGGACGGACAGUUGCUAGAACGCUUUCGAAAAGAUUAAGCAUUGUCUUACGCAACCGCCCAUCUUGAGCAGCCCCAUUCCAAAAGAGAAAUUGUAUAUGUAUCUGGCGGUAUCAGAAUAGGCAAUCAGCGUCGUUCUAUUCCGCUGCCCCUCGCCCAAGGAGUGAAAACCUAUCUACUACGUCAACAGGGCAUUGGCUGACGUAGAAACCAGAUAUUCAAAAAUGGAGCUAACAGCCUUAGCCCUUCGAAACGCUGCUCAGAAGCUCCGCCUUUAUUUCCAAGCUCAUCCAGUGAUCGUACUAACUGACCAGCCCCUUCGCAAUAUUCUGCACAAGCCAGAUUUAACCGGGAGAAUGCUACAAUGGGCCAUUGAAUUAAGCGAAUUUGGAAUCGAAUUCCAACCUAGGUUGUCCAUGAAAGGCCAGGUAAUGGCUGACUUCGUGCUAGAAUAUUCCCGAAGACCCAGCCAACACCACGAAUCAAGUAAACAAGAAUGGUGGACUCUGCGAGUUGACGGAGCCUCACACUCAUUCGGCUCUGGAAUUGGGCUCCUACUACAAUCCCCAACUGGGGAACAUUUGGAGCAAGCCAUCCGGCUGGGAUUCUCUGCCUCUAACAAUGAAGCAGAAUAUGAGGCUAUCUUGUCCGGAUUGGACCUCGCCCUUGCUCUAUCCGUCUCCAAACUCCGAGUCUACAGCGACUCACAACUCGUGGUAAAGCAUGUCCAGGAGGAAUAUGAGGCUAAGGACACACGCAUGGCGCGAUACUUAGCUAAAGUAAGAGAGACUUUGCAGCAAUUCACCGAAUGGACAAUCGAAAAAAUCAAGCGAGCUAACAAUAGGCGCGCUGACGCCUUGGCUGGCGUAGCUGCCUCCCUCCCUAUCAAAGAAUCCAUUCUAUUGCCCAUACAUGUGCAACUCAACCCCUCUGUCGCAGAAAGUUCCACCUGCAAUACCAUUGAGGCACCCCAAGCGGACGGCCAAGAAUGGAUGAAUGGCAUCACAUAAUAUAUCCGGACUGGAACUUUACCAGGAGAUCUCAAACAGGCACACAAAGUCCGGGUGCAAGCUGCCCGUUUCACCCUGAUUGGGGGGCACCUAUACAAGCGAUCCUUCACAGGACCUUACCUUCGAUGCCUAGGGCAUUCAGAGGCCCAGUAUGUGUUAGCUGAGUUACACGAAGGAAUAUGCGGGAAUCAUUCAGGAGGACGAUCUCUGGCACAUCGAGCCCAUUCACAGGGAUAUUAUUGGCCAACAAUGAAGAAGGAUGCGGCAACAUACGUCAAAAAUUGUGACAAAUGUCAAAAGCAUGCUCUCAUUCCACAUAUGUCAUCAGCAACAUUGAAAUCAAUAUCAAGCCCAUGGCCCUUCGCACAAUGGGGCAUGGACAUAGUAGGACCUCUCCCAGUUGCGCCUGCCCAAAAGAAAUUUUUGCUCGUUGCCACAGAUUAUUUCAGUAAGUGGGAGGAAGCUGAAGCAUAUGCUAGCAUCAAAGACAAGGAUGUCACCAAGUUCGUAUGGAAAAAUAUUAUCUGUCGUUUUGGAAUUCCCCAAGCCAUCAUAGCUGACAAUGGUCCACAAUUUGAUAGCAUUGCAUUCAGGAACUUCUGUUCGGAGCUAAACAUCCAGAAUUCAUACUCCACACCGCGAUAUCCUCAAAGUAAUAGGCAAGCAGAAGCCACAAACAAGACCCUAAUCACUGCCUUAAAGAAUAGGCUUGAACAAGCCAAAGGAAAAUGGGUCGAGGAGCUACCCGGCGUCCUAUGAGCCUACCGAACUAUACCCAGACGGCCAACAGGAAAUACUCAUUUCGCUCUCGCAUAUGGAAUGGAUGCAGUCAUUCCUACUGAAAUAGGUCUUCCUACUAUCCGGAUUGAUGCAGCAAAACAGAGUGAUGCAAACAUGGAAUUAGGAAGAAAUUUGGAUUGGACGGAUGAAGUGAGGGAAAGCGCGGCCAUCCGGAUGGUAGAUUAUCAACAAAGGGCAUCAGCACAUUACAAUCGCAAAGUGAGGCCAAGAAGCUUAAAAAAUGGUACGCUAGUCCUUAGAAAAGUUUUUGAAAACACUGCUGAAGUCGGUGCAGAGAAAUUCCAAGCUAACUGGGAAGGACCCUAUAUAGUGUCUAAGGCAAGUGAAAGUGGAGCCUAUUAUUUACAAAAGUUAGACGGGACUCCAUUACUUAGACCAUGGAAUGUGUCCAAUUUAAAACGGUACUAUCAAUGAAAAAGAGAGACAAAAACAAAUAGAAGAAAAAGACAUAUUUUAUUGAUAUGUAUCAAUGAAUGUACAAAGAGGUCUUCGGACCACGAAAAUACAAAAAAAAAUUACAACAAAAAGUUGCAAAAAGACAAAAGCUAUCAGGGAGCAGCCUUAAAGUUUCUUCUCUUCACCCGGAGGAAUUGAAGGGACAUCCCCCUUUAUGCCAUUCUUCUUCAUACAGCAGCGAUAACCGAAGAUGAAGGUGUCAUCCACUUGUUUUUGGUAGUCCGCUUCAAGUUCCUCCCUCUCUGCAGCAAACUCCCGUUCUAGCUCUUCUUUUUGCGCUGUUAAGCGUAGCUGCAAAUCUUCUUUUUGCUUCUUUUCAAUAGAAGCCUCUGUCCGGAGUUGCCUCACUUCCCCCCCCCCCCCCCCCCCCAUCCGGGCUAUCUCAUCCUCUGCCUCAUGCAGACGGGCAAUCGAUGAUUCCUCCCGGUCCUUAGCCUCAGCCAAUUUCGCCCGAAGGGCUUCAUUGUCCUCUCGAACGGUGGAUAAGCUGGCCUCAGCCUCCGCCAGUCUCAGGCGCAACUGAUCUUCAGCAUCUUUGCGCCGAGUGGCGAAGNNNNNNNNNNNNNNNNNNNNNNNNNNNNNNNNNNNNNNNNNNNNNNNNNNNNNNNNNNNNNNNNNNNNNNNNNNNNNNNNNNNNNNNNNNNNNNNNNNNNUUUUUUUUUUUAUUGUUCAAAAGAAAUCCAAAAGGGUUUUUUGGCCCCCGAAAAUAAAAAAAAAAAUUCACAAAAAAAGUUGAAAAAAAAAAAAAGUUUUUGGGGGGCCCCCUUAAAUUUUUUUUUUUUCCCCCGGGGAAAUAGAAAGGGCCCCCCCCUUUAUCCCUUUUUUUUUUAAAACAGGGGAAAAACAAAAAAAAAAGGGUUCCCCCCCUUUUUUUUGGGGAUCCCCUUAAAAUUCCCCCCUUUUGGGCAAAAAACCCCCUUUUAAUUUUUUUUUUUGGGGAGUAAAGGGGGGCCCAAAAUUUUUUUUUUUUUUUUUUUAAAAAAAAACCCUUUUCCGGGGGUCCCCCCUUUUCCCCCCCCCCCCCCCCCCCCAUCCGGGCUAUCUCAUCCUCUGCCUCAUGCAGACGGGCAAUCGAUGAUUCCUCCCGGUCCUUAGCCUCAGCCAAUUUCGCCCGAAGGGCUUCAUUGUCCUCUCGAACGGUGGAUAAGCUGGCCUCAGCCUCCGCCAGUCUCAGGCGCAACUGAUCUUCAGCAUCUUUGCGCCGAGUGGCGAAGGUCUUCAUAUAAUCAGUGGUCCGCAGCAGGUCAGUGAAAAGAUCGUAUUGAUUGGCCAUACCACGGAGACCACUCACCAGCUGCAGGCAAACAGACAAACAAGAAAAACAAAGUUAUAAAUCACACCACAAACACAUAUCAGAAUGAGAAAGAUUCAAGGAACACAGAAAAGUAUACCGACUCCACCAUCUCGAACAUCUUGGCUGAAGGCAUAAUACUGGUCAAGCUGGGUGGAAUCUGUUUCAGCUUAUCUUCCAACUCCGCAUAGCUAAAAGGGCUAGCGGAGGUGCAAGACGCAUCAUUAACAGGAUCCCCGCCUGAUGAGGCAACAGAAGGAGACUCUGGUUCCGGAUUCGGUGCCUUAACAUUUACGACCGAAUGGGUCUCCCCGGGUGCAACCUCAGCCGGGACCAUUACAAGGACGACUGGAGGCUCAGUUGUCAUCUCCACUUCGCCCCCCUCCGGAUGAGCGUCGUGAGCGGAUGAGCAACUAACUUCGAUCUCUUGUUAACGAUCUUGAAGCCACCCGAGGAGUCCGGACCUCUGAUUGCGCGCCGAGCGCGGCCUCUUCGAAGGUGGCCCCUUCACCAGAACAAGAGUCAGACGGUCCGGAUCGUCCGAGGGCUGACUCUGGCUUUCGAUCCCCGCUUCCUCCAUCGGGUCCGCACAAACGGCUUCAACUGCAUCGACAUCCGGAUUAGGGGAGUCCGGAUGGUUGAUGGAUGCAGCUUCCUCAGCCAGAUUAGCCAGACGGGCAACCGCUGCCAAUGAGGUACUUGAGUGGUUCAGCCCCACGACGUGUCCGGAACCGCUUGAGAUAGAAUGAGGAGCAGGGUUCACUAGCUCCUCUAUUAUUACCUCCGCCUCGUGGAUAAUUGGCGGAGGAGCAAAUUCUUUGGGAGGAGUGGGCUCCUUCACUCCCUUCCCAUUCUUCACCAGCUUCUUCUUUUUCGCUGGAGCUUUAUUUGGCGGAGAGUCUGCGUCGCAUUUCUGUCUGGGAGCCUUCCGAAGGGUCCCUUCGUUUUUCUUCUUCUCCUGAUUGUCCAAGAGCGCUCGGCGUUUUUCAGCGUCAGCCUCUUUUAACGCCUGGUAAAUCGGGAGAUCUUUCACAAUGUAAUGCUCCCCAGGCACUACCUCCUUUGGCAUCUUCUUGGGGAGAAUGUUGAUGACAUACUCUUGGGGCUCUUGGACGACCGCCAUCAGGUUCCGUGCAGUCAGCAGCAUCUUGCACUGCCUCUCCUUGGCGUCUAUUUCAAAACACUUGCUGAGACAGGCAAAAGACGCAUUUCCACCCAAUCCACGAGGUAGCCCCUUUUUUCCGGACCUACAUUAACAGCAGCAAAGGUUGACAAUACCAUCCGGAGAUAUCAACAAGAAAACAACAAGGUAAAAAUCCGGACAAAAGUCGCAAAGCAAACUUACCCGGAAUCGCUAAGGAAUAGUUGGGAGAGAAGGGCCUCACCGGAUGCCUCGACCCCGCCCACGCACCCCGGACCAUCACGUGUCUCUUCGCCCCUCCAUUCGUCGAGUCUGGCAGUUCCGUCACCAAUUGAAGGGAGGGCAGGUGCGCGGACAGGCUGAAGAUGUCAGUUUUCGCCUUCUUCAGCGAAUACACGAAAAACACCUCCAGCAGCGUGAGGUCAAGGUUGUACAGCAUGUUUAUGAUGUUGCAUCCCAUCAGCACCCGGACGAUAUUGGGGUGAAUGAAGACUGGUGGAAUCUUGGUGAAAUGGAGGAAUUCCUUGAACAACGCCGGCAGAGGCAACCGGAGCCCCGCAUAGAAUUGUUCCUUCGAGAAGAUGACGGUAUCUUGUUCAGCUUUCUCAGUAGAUACGACAUCUUUCCAAUUCAAAAAUUCCACAAUCACGCCAUUUGCAAUGCAGAAUCGAUCCCGGAACUCCUUUACGCUCAGUUUGUCUGUAGGUUUCUCAUGAGCGUCGCUGGAGUGGGCAGAUGAAGUAGCUUUCUGCUUUGAAGACAUUUUCUAGCCCGAGGUUGAACUGAAACCUACAUGCAAGAAAUGCAAUAGUCAAACACAGCCAACCAACCCCACAAACCCUAAACGAUAACAAACACUCGGAAAACCUCGCACCAACAGUAUACCUAUUCCAAAAUCUUUGACUCUACCCCAACAAGAAACCCCCGACCUACAAAAACCACAGGGGGGCAACUGAAACCCUUAAAACACCCAGUCACAAACAACACUCGCCCAAACAAGCCAACAACGCCAAAGCGUACAAAAGGAAAGAACAAAGCAUAAAGAAUACGUACCGAAUGUCAGAGAGAAGCAAAGGUUGCAGAUCGCAAGGCAAGCACCGUCAAAGCGCAACAAAUCACCGUAAAAAAUUCUAGGGUUUUCACUCAAAAGAAGCAACAAUACGCACAAGGUUGACGAAGAAAGCUAUCUCAGAAAAACGCAGUAGAAAAAAGCAACAGUGAGCACAGUAUGCUAUUUAUAGGGGGACAUCCCCUCGGAAAGCCAAACGUCCAACAAACGUCAUCAUUGAAACGACAUACUGCCUGGGAAUACCCAGAGUCGGCGGCUCAUCAUAAAUGCCUUUUUGGCUCUCGCACCCCCACUCGCCACGUGGCCCAACCAGACAAAAAGUCGAUUUCGGUUUCAAAAAACCAAUUAUUUUUAACCCGCCCAUUUUUGCUCGGGCAAAAUAGGCAAGUUAAAAAGGGGGGCAUUGUAGGGACCCCUCCCUCCGAGACACGUGGCACGCAUUGUCAUCCGGGUCAUCUUCAUCCGGACCUUCUCAUAAAGCACACAUGGCACGCUUUUCCGAACUACCUCAAGGAAGAUCAAACUGCACUUAUAAGCAUAUCAUCCGGACGAUUUACACAAUGCAUCUGAAUACAAUGGUCCGGACCACUAACUAAAGUAUAGCGAGUCUUACACGCUAUCACGACAACCAGCCAUGGCCCACGUCUCAGCACCUGCAGAGUGAAAGGACGGGUUGAGGUGACAACAAGUCACUUCCCACGAUCAUUCUACAUGAUCACUUCCCACGAUCUCUAAGCAGCAGCAUCACCUACCACGGUUUCUGACAGCCGCCAGUAGGGUGGCGAUGACCAUGCUGCCUCCGAAUGUCAUCAUGACAAACAUAAAAUAUCUCCUCGCCAUUAAUGAGAGGAACAGUACUCCUAGCACUAUAUAUGAACCUUUGCACGAAGAAGAAGGUAAUCUCCAGAUACCGAGUAAAAUGCCAACUGAUUUAUAUCUCCCUCUCUAGCCAUGGCUAACAAAACCAUCGGAGGGUGCGUCCGGACACUCUGUCCGGAUGCCUUUUUGCAGGUAUAACGACUGAAUCAAGAACCUUUGUGUGUUGAGAUCGCGUCUCCAUCCAUUUGGCAACUACGUGGAAGCCCAGGAGUGCGAGGUAUUAACAGACAUAGGACACGAAAGCUACAGGAAAAUGACAUUAGAUGAGAUUUUUCUCAAUUUGGAAAGCGGAUUAUACAAUCUUUUCCAUAGUUUGAGGCUAAAGAUAUUUUGAGCUUUAACCCUCGCAAUUGUUUUGAUCAUGUUUAAGAAAAUUAAUUAGAUGUGUUGAUCUAAUUCAAAUCUUCAAUAUUGUACCAACUUAUAUUGUAAUUAAGUAUUUUUGCUUUCUUUCUUUAGAAUUUUCCCUAAACCAAACACAACCUUAGCUAUUUGUAAUUCUACAAACCUAAAAGAGUUGAGAAUCUAAGCAUGAGUUUUUUUUUUUUUCUCUUUAUGGAAAUAGAAAAUCUAGUGGAAUAAGUGGCGAUUUUGUACCAUACCAGGUGUACAAAAUCUUUCCAAAUAUACAAAUUUGAAAAUAAAUUUAUUUUUAUUAAUUUAAAAUUUUGAGAAUACGACCCUUAUUUUAUCUUCUAAUUUUUUUAAUAAUUAAUAUCUAACAAUUAAUUAAGCUUAGGCUUUGAUUUGGGCAUAUGACACAUGUCAUGAUCCUAUUUAAACACACAGAUGAUAUGUCAUAAUUAGUAACAGAAGGAAUUUAAAGAACUUUAAUAUGUUAAUAAAUGAACAAAAUUUUAAAUUUCUUAUCUUUUAAAAAAAAAUUGCUUUAUUUAGUUUCUUUUGAAUGGACUCUAUAUGACAAUUUUUUUAGUGGAAUAUUUAUCUUGGAUUUUAUAGAACAAAAUUUAAAAUGUUUAAUUGAUAAUAUAGGAUCAUAGUUGAAACAAUAAAAUUUAUUUAUCACUUAAAAGAAUUAAUUAAAUAAAUUUAAUAGAAUAAUAAAAAAUUUGUUAGGAAUAUUUGAAUUUGAAAAACCUUUAAAGAUCCAAAGUUUGUUAUGAAAUAUUCUUAAUAGUUUUUUUUAUCAAAAAAAUAUAUACUAACUAAAAGUUUGAAGUACUUUUUAUAUGAAGAACACAGCAUUACAAAAUAUCUUCAAUAUUCAGGUACAGCAUGAAUAUUUUUUUAUUUCGUAAACAAUACGUCAGACUAUAGAAAACAACAAAUGAAGCAUCCAGAGCAAAAUAAUAGACGAGUCAGAGUUCGCUGAGUUGGGACAUUGAAGAAAGGAGUGUCUAGGGUCUAGAGAAGAGCUUGGGUGAUCAUUUUGUCCAAGUUCGAGAAAGACGACCCAUUGGGACCUCUAGUGGCCUCUUCUGCUAGAGCCUUCCACUCCAAGGCCUUCUUCUUCAACUCUUUGCCUUUCUCUCCCUCCAUCAACUCCUUCACAAGCCUUUCAAUUUCAUCUCUCUUAACGUCGCUGUCUAUCUCCAUGCCUAUGCCCCACUCAGUGCAACAGUAGCGGCAGUUGGUUUGCUGCUCUGCAAAAAAGGGCCAACAAAUCAUAGGCACUCCAGCGCUCACACUUUCAAUUGUGGAAUUCCACCCGUUGUGAGUUAAGAAGCCGCCAACAGCCGGGUGACUGAGAACUUGCUCUUGAGGACACCAACCUGCUAACAGACCCCUCUCUUUCGUCUCUGCCACGAAUUCUGGCGGAAGAAUGGCCGCGUCACCGGACACAAGAUCUGGCCUGAUUAUCCAUAAGAACGUCUGAUUGCUAUUCACCAGUCCCCAAGCAAACUCAUUGAGUUGCUGCGAUGUCAUGACCGUGACGCUCCCGAAAUUCACGUAAACAACAGAGUUGGGCUCUUUGGAGUCCAGCCACUCCAGACAUUCCGGCUCUUCUUUCCACAGAUUCGAUUCCAUCAACUUCAAAUCGUUAUCUUGGAUCUGACUCAUGAGUUUGUGCAGGGGACCGAUGGUGUAGAUUGGGGGAAACAUCUGAGAAAGUGCAUCCAAAACUUCAUGCUCUAGAGCAUCAAAUGUAUUGAAAAUGAGGGCAGAUGCCUUGCGAGCUCUUUCAGCCUCCCGCAAUGGAAAUUCCAGCAUAAUGUCAUUUGGGUCCGUCGUUCGAAUGAAGCUUGGGAUAUCCCUCAAACGGAUACCUUUCAUACCCGGUAUCCAAUCAAUAACGGUAUCCAGAUACCCAUUUGUUAGGUAACUCUCAUCUGCAUUUCAUAGAAAGGAGGGGAAAAAAUAUGAGAAUCCGUAUUGAGCUUAGCUUUGAAGUAAUUAAAUGCAAAGUUGGUCAGUAUUUGAUUCAUUUGAAUGAUACCUUUGAGUGGAGCCAAACCCUUAUCGAUAAGAUUGCGAUAUUGCACGUAGCCCAUGAAGCCGCAAGCACUAGUUGUCCAGAAAAGAACUUCAGGAACGCCAAGCUCUUGAGCAGCAUCAAGAGUGAAGCUCAUGGCGCCAUCAGAAACUAUGCAAGUGACUGGAGGGCCAUCGUGGUUGAGGUUGGAAAGAAGGUCUCUAAAGGGAGGCAGGCAGUGUUUUGUGGUGGAGACACAGAGAGCGGGAGUGUCUUGGGUGGCAUCAACAUUGGAGGGAGGGAGACCAUCGGGAAUGGUCUUGAAUUGGAAGGAGGGGAUGCCUUUGAGGGAGUCUGGACCCCGAGAUUUGAGCAGGCGGUUAUGGUUGUACUCUGUGUUGACAAAGGUAAUGUGGAACCCUCUGAAAUGAAGGAACUUUGCUAGUUUUAGCAUAGGGUUUAUGUGGCCCUGUGCUGGGUACGGUAUGCAAACUGCAUGUGGCUUCUCAGCUGAGGCUAAGGAACCCAUUCUCUCUUUCUCUCUCUCUCACUUUCACUCUGCUCUCAAUUGGUAUAUGCCCAUGACAUUGGAAGUAGCUUGGGUUUUAUAGCCCCAGGAGAGAGGGUCAAACACUUUACUUAUAUAUAUAUAUAUUAAAGUCAGAAGUCAAAUAAAUGCUGCAAUAUUAAUAUAUGUACAGCUGUAUCAGAGAGUAACUGAAGGUCAACUUGGCUCUCUCCUUUAUCUAGGUUAACCCACCUGUCCUCCAUACUUCACGGCAGGUGCCUAAUGCUUUAAACACUUUACUUAUAUACAAUAUUAAUAUAUGUACAGCUGUAUCAGAGAGUAACUGAAGGUCAAACUUGGCUCUCUCCUUUAUCUAGGUUAACCCACCUGUCCUCCAUACUUCACGGCAGGUGCCUAAUGCUUUUCAUAGGAGAUGUACAACAAAUUCAAUAUUUACACAAUUAUCAACUUUUUACUUUUAAGCAAUCCAAGAUUCCCAACGAUAUAUGAAUACCUAUUUUUGUAAUGCAGUAGGAUCUUGACAAUCAAUUACUCUAAAAACUCGUUUCAAGUUGUCGGAUGUCCACACCUAUAUAUUAUUAUUUAUAGGUGUGCGAGUGGAUGAGAAAUCUAUUAUACAUGAUGUUAAUGGUUAAGUCGGACCCAUUCAAACAAAAGAUGAAAUCGGUAUAUAUAAUGGAAACAAAGAGGUGCUAAUCGGGACUUUUCUCAAUAGUAUAGUAAUUUUAAAAAGUUAUGCUUAAAUUAUUAUAGUAGAAGAAGUUAUUAUAAAUAUAUGGUAGUUUUUGCCACAUAGGAGAGAGGAGAGAGGGUGAGAGAGAGGAGAUAGGAGAGAGGAGAGAGGGUGAACGGAUAAAUUUUUUAAUUCCAUGAAAAAAAAAAUUAUAUUUUUUUAAAAAAAUAUAUAUUCUUUUUAAAAAAUUCCUAUUUAUUCAAGGGAACUCGUCUCUUCAAGAGACGAGUUCCAUGAAAAAAGACAAGGGAAAGACGAGUUACCAGGGAAAAAAAUAUAUAUAUUUUUUUUAAAUAUAUUUUUUAUUUAAAAAAAAUCCUAAAUUAAAUUUAAAAAAAUUUCCUAAAUGGAACUCGUCUCUUUGGGAAAUUUUUUUUUUUUUUAAAUAUAUAUAUUUUUAAAAAAAAAAUAUUUUUUUUUACAUGGGAACUCGUCUCUUGAAGAGACGAGUUCCCUUUAGGAAUUUUGAGGAUUUGUUUUUUUUUUUUAAUAUAUAUAUUUAAAAAAUAUUUUUUGUUUUUUUACAUNNNNNNNNNNNNNNNNNNNNNNNNNNNNNNNNNNNNNNNNNNNNNNNNNNNNNNNNNNNNNNNNNNNNNNNNNNNNNNNNNNNNNNNNNNNNNNNNNNNNAAAAAAAAAUAUAUUUUUUUAAAAAAAUAUAUAUUUUUUUUAAAAAAAUUCUAUUUAUUUAAAGGGAAUUGUCUUUUCCAAAGACGAAUUUCCUGAAAAAAAACCAGGGGAAGGGGGGUUUCCCGGGGAAAAAAAAUAUAUUUUUUUUUUUAAAAUAUUUUUUUUUUAAAAAAAAUCCUAAAUUAAAAUUUAAAAAAUUUUCUAAAAGGAAAUUGUUUUUUUGGGAAAAUUUUUUUUUUUUUAAAAAUAUAUAUUUUUAAAAAAAAAAUUUUUUUUUUUUCAAGGGAAAUUGUUUUUUGAAGAGGCGAGUUUCCCUUUGGAAUUUUGGGGAUUUUUUUUUUUUUUUUUAAAUAUAUAUUUUAAAAAAUUUUUUUUUUUUUUUUCCAGGGAAGGGACGAGUUUCCUUUGAAAAUGUUUUUUUUUUUUUUUUUUUUUUUUUUUUUUUUUUUUAAUUUGGGAUUUUUUUAAAUAAAAAAUAUAUUUUUACAAAAAAAUAUUUUUUUUCCCUAAAGGAACUCGUCUCUUUUUAAUUUAGGAUUUUUUUUAAAUAAAAAAUAUAUUUAAAAAAUAUAUAUAUAUUUUCCCAUGGGAACUCGUCUCUUCAAGAGACGACUUCCCUUUACGAAAUUUUUUUUUUUUAAAAAAAAUAUUUUUUUUACAUGGGAACUCGUCUCUUGAGGAGACGAGUUCCCUUUAGGAAUUUUGAGGAAUUAUUAUUAUUAUUUUUUUUUAAUAUAUAUAUAUAUAUAUUUUUACAUGGGAACUCGUCUCUUGAAGAGACGAGUUCCUUUAGGAUUUAUUUAUUUAUUUUUUUUUAAUUUGGGAUUUUUUUAAAAUAAAAAAUAUAUUUAAAAAAAAAUAUUUUUUUCAAGAGACGAGUUCCCUUUAGGAAUUUUUUUUUUUAAAUAUAUAUAUUUUUUUAAAAAAAAAAUUUUACAUGGGAACUCGUCUCUUGAAGAGACGAGUUCCCUUGAGGAAUUGUUGUUGUUUUUUUUUUUUUUUUGGGAUUUUUUUAAAUAAAAAAAAUAUUUUUUUUCCCAAAGGGAACUCGUCUCUUGAGUUCCUUUAGGAAUUUUUUUUUUUUUUAAUUUGGGAUUUUUUUUAAAUAAAAACUAUAUUUAAAAAAAAAAUAUUUUUUUUCCCAUGGGAACUCGUCUCUUCAGACGAGUUCCUUUAGGAAAUUUUUUUUUUUUUUAGAUAUAUAUAUUUAAAAAAAAAAUAUUUUUUUUUACAUGGGAACUCGUCUCUUCAAGAGACGAGUUCCCUUUAGGAAUUUUGAGGAAUUGUUUUUUUUUUUUUUUUUUUUUUUUAAUAUAUAUAUUUAAAAAAAAAAAAAUUUACAUGGGAACUCGUCUCUUGAAGAGACGAGUUCCCUUUGGAAUUGUUUUUUUUUUUUUUUAUUCAGGAUUUUUUUAAAUAAAAAAUAUAUUUAAAAAAAAAAUAUUUUUUUUCCUAAAGGGAAUUUUUUUUUCUUUUUUUUAAUUUGGGAUUUUUUUUCCCAGGGAACCCGCCCCUUCAGACAAGUUCCUUUAGGGAAUUUUUUUUUUUUUUAAAAAAAUAAAAAUUUUUUUUAAAUAUAAAAAAUUUUUUUAAAAAAAAUUUUUUUUUUACGGGGAAACCCGUCUUUUGAAGAGACGAGUUCCUUUUAGGAAUUUUUUUUUUUUUUUUAAUUGGGGAUGGUUUUUAAAAAAAAAAUUUAUUUUUUUUUUUUAAAANNNNNNNNNNNNNNNNNNNNNNNNNNNNNNNNNNNNNNNNNNNNNNNNNNNNNNNNNNNNNNNNNNNNNNNNNNNNNNNNNNNNNNNNNNNNNNNNNNNNGGUCCCUUUGGAAAUUUUUUUUUUUUUAAUUUGGGGUUUUUUUUAAAAAAAAACUUUUUUUUAAAAAAAAAUUUUUUUUUUUCCAAGGGAAAUUUUUUUUUUACGAAGGGUUCCCUUUGGAAAAUUUUUUUUUUUUUUGAAAUAAUAUUUUUUAAAAAAAAAAAAUUUUUUUUUCCAGGGAAAUUGUUUUUUCCAAAGACGAGUUUCCCUUUGGAAAUUUUGGGAAAUUUUUUUUUUUUUUUUUUUUUUUUUUAAUAUAUAUAUUUAAAAAAAAAAAAAUUUACAUGGGAACUCGUCUCUUGAAGAGACGAGUUCCCUUUGGAAUUGUUUUUUUUUUUUUUUAUUCAGGAUUUUUUUAAAUAAAAAAUAUAUUUAAAAAAAAAAUAUUUUUUUUCCUAAAGGGAAUUUUUUUUUCUUUUUUUUAAUUUGGGAUUUUUUUUCCCAUGGAACUCGUCUCUUCAGACGAGUUCCUUUAGGGAAUUUUUUUUUUUUUUAAAUAUAUAUAUAUUUUUUUUAAAUAUAUAUAUAUUUUUUAAAAAAAAUAUUUUUUUUACAUGGAAACUCGUCUUUUGAAGAGACGAGUUCCCUUUAGGAAUUUUUUUUUUUUUUUUAAAUUGGGAUUGUUUUUAAAUAAAAAAUAUAUUUUUUUUUUUUAAAAAAAAAAUUUUCCCAUGGGAACUCAUCUCUUGAAGAGACGAGUUCCCUUUAGGAAAUUAUUUAUUUAUUUAUUUAAUUUGGGAUUUUUUUUAAAUAAAAUAUAUAUUUAAAAAAAAAAUAUUUUUUUUCCCAUGGGAACUCGUCUAUUCAAGAGACGAGUUUCCUUUAGUUCCAAAUUGUUUUUUUUUUUUAAUUUGUGAAUUUUUUUUUUAAAAUAUAUAUUUUUUGUAAUGGGAACUCGUCUCUUGAAGAGACAAGUUUCCUUGAAGAAUUGUCUUUUUUUUUUUUUUUUUUAAUUUGAGAAUUUUUUUAAAAAUAUAUAUAUAUUUUUUUUCAUGGAACUCGUCUCUUGAAGAGACGAGUUCCCUAAUGGGGAAUUUUCUUUAAAAAAUAUAUAUUUUUUGUUUCAUGGAACUCGUCUCUUGAAGAGACGAGUUCCCUUUUUAAAAAAAAUUUAUCCGUUCACCCUCUCUCCUCUCUCCUAUCUCCUCUCUCCUUUCUCUCACCCUCUCUCCUCUCUCCUCUCUCCUAUCUCCUUUCUCCUCUCUCCUAUGUGGCAAAAACUACCAUAUAUUUGUAAUAACUUCUUCUACUACAAUAAUUUAAGCAUAACUUUUUUAAAUUACUGUACUAUUGAGAAAAGUCCGUGCUAAUCGCUAUGAAUUGAAGACAAAAUGCAUCCACCCCAUUCAGAAAUGUUGACCAUAAGAUGAAAUAAAAUAUUUAGAGAAGAUAGAUUAAGGGCGGUGACAAGAUUGAGGGGCUUAAAAGACAUGUCACUGAGUGAUGCUAAGGGCGACCGAAAAAAAGAAAUCUUAUCCCUGUGAGAGAUUCCUUGGGCGGUCUGAAUGUUUUUGCUGGCUUCCUUUGCCAUUCUUUCACGUACCUUAUGUUCGCAUUCCUGGAAAGACAACUCCCAUCUUCAUUCUUUCUUUUCAUGCAAUCAUUAUGAAGACCACAAACUUCAGUAUUGUACGGCUCUAUUUGGGUCUAUAUUUUCUGGUCAUUUUCUUGAUCCUUCCGUGAACCAUUGGAACGCCAUGGAGCUUAACUUCUUGUUUUUUUAAUAUAAUAUAAUAAGGAAAAGUGUGACAACCUCUAAAACAUGAACAUCAAAUGCAGGUAAGUUAAGACAUAGGACACGAAAGCCACAGGAAAAUGACAUUAGAUGAAAUAUUUCUCAAUUUGGAAAGCGGAUUAUACAAUCUUUUCCAUAGUUUGAGGCUAAAGAUAUUUUGAGCUUUAACCCUCGCAAUUGUUUUGAUCACAUUUAAGAAAAUUAAUUCGAUAUGCUGAUCUAAUUCAAAUCUUCAAUAUUGUACCAACUUAUACUGUAAUUAAGUAUUUUUUUCUUUCUUUCUUUAGAAUUUUCCCUAAACCAAACACAACCUUAGCUAUUUGUAAUUCUACAAACCUAAAAGAGUUGAGAAUCUAAGCAUGAGGUUUUUUUUUUUUUUUUCUCUUUAAGAAAUAGAAAAUCUAGUGGAAUAAGUGGCGAUUUUGUACCCUCAUAUGAAAUGGACCUUGUUAGAGUUUGGGAUGAAAACACGUCAAUCCCAUUCCAGGCCCACCUCAUCGCAUUGGCUAAAGAGGUUACAGGGAACCAAGUGGGGGUGACCUUAGAUGGGCCAAGUUCAGCCCAAGGUUGAUUUGCCCUAAAAUCACAAGACCAGGGCCCGAUCAACGCAGUUGUAGAUUUCACAACAGCGAUUAUCUUUAAGUAUUUGAUAUUAUAUAAUGGAAAAUUUUCUAAUUUACAAAAUGAUCAUGCGUGAUUUUACUAAAAAAUAGAUUGGAAUUUGGGCAUGAUCUUGGUUCAAUGUAUCAAGGAGAUUUUCCCCUUUUUCAAUGAUCAUGUAGAUUGCUGUUUUCAGUCAACAAAUACGGAUUACUAAAAAACUUUAAAACUAAAAAAUAUAAAAAUAAAAUAUUAGAUUUCACUUUGCUAAAUCACACUAAUUAAAAAUAUAAAUUCAAGAAAUAAUUGAAAAUACGAUGAGAGUAAAUAUUUAAUUUUGUUAUUUUUAAGUUUUUUGUUUUAAUUGUAUUUAAUUUUUCAACUAUUUUAGUUUUAAUUGUUAUAUUUAUUUUUAAAAUUUCUUAUUUUAUUGUUUAUGUCAACUAACAAAUUUUUUAUUUAAUUUAUUUUUUAAAAAAUAAGAAGAUGAAUGGAUUUAUUUAUUACAAGAUAUAAAAUCAAGAUAUUUUUUUAAAAUUAGGAUUUAUAUAAUACAAGAUAAUUUUUAGAAUUUCAAACAGAUUUGAAAAUCUAUUCAUAUUAAAGUUAUUUGCCCAUAAAUACAUCUCCAUAACUUCAAAAGAGUUGGAGAUCUAAAUUUAUUUAGAGUGAGUUCAUUUAAAAGAAAGCUUAAAUAGCCACAAGCAUUCAGGGGUUAUUGCGCCGCUUGCAAACAUGGAUCAUGUUGUCAAAGGUUGUUGCAUUGUAUUAUAGACAUGGUAUAGGAAGAGUAUAAAUAAUUUUUUUUAUAUUAUAUUUUUGGGAAGAAUCCUGUAAAUUUAUUUUAUUUUAUUUUAUUAGUUUUAUAUUUUUGGGAAGAAUCCUAUUGAGAUUGUGCUAAUGGAGUCUCAUUCCUUAUAUAAGUAAAAUCCCCUUCCACUUUGAGUCUGUUCUGAUUACAAGUAGAGUCUCAUUGGGAGUGUACAGGUCACCCCUCACUCUCUAAAUAUGAAUACCAAUUUUUCAAGAUAAUUUUUUAGAGAGUCUUUUCAUACAUCUAUUUGGAGGAAUUUUUUUUCAAAACUCGAGCCGUACAUCUCGUUUAUGCAAGAUCUAACUGUUGAAUUACACCGAGUUCGUCUUUGAGGAUGGUGAAUCUAUUUCAAGAAUAGUAUUUGUCACGCCUCAACCUAAGUUUUUCUUUUUAUUAAUUUUGUUCUUAUUUGUGUCUUUUGCACUAAUCAUUUGUUUCCAUACCUUUAAAUCUAACACAUGGAUCAAGUUGUAAAUUAAUAAACAUGCAUCACGUUGUAAGAGGUUGUUGCAUUGCAUUACAUAUAUUCAUCAAAUUAUAGGUAUUAAAAGUGUCAUGUAGAUGUGUAUAAAUUUAACUUUGAUAUAUAUACAAAAUUUAUUUCCAAAAUACUUUCCAAAAAGUUUUUUUAAACACGUCUGAUUUGAAUAUUAAUAUUCAAAGAAUAGACUUUGAAGGAGGUUUGAGUUUCAUGAAGGAAAAGAAAAACACUUUCCAAAAAUUCUUUUAUAAGCACGUGUCAUUUGAAUAUUAAUAUUCAAAGAAUAGACUUUGAAGGAGCUUUGGGUUUCAUGAAGGAAAAAAAUGAUGUUGGAGAGAAGACCGCUUCUAAUACCACCAGGUGUGCAAAAUCUUUCCAAAUAUACAAAUUUGAAAAUAAAUUUAUUUUUAUUAAUUUAAAAUUUUGAGAAUACGAUCCUUAUUUUAUCUUCUAAUUUAUUUAAUAAUUAAUAUCUAACAAUUAAUUAAGCUUAGGCUUUGAUUUGGGCAUAUGACACAUGUCAUGAUCCUAUUUAAACACACAGAUGAUAUGUCAUAAUUAGUAACAGAAGGAAUUUAAAGAAUUUCAAUAUGUUAAUAAAUGAACAAAAUUUUAAAUUUCUUAUCUUUUAAAAAAAAAUUGCUUUAUUUAGUUUCUUUUGAAUGGACUCUAUAUGACAAUUAUUUUUAGUGGAAUAUUUAUCUUGGAUUUUAUAGAACAAAAUUUAAAAUGUUUAAUUGAUAAUAUAGGAUCAUAGUUGAAACAAUAAAAUUUAUUUAUCACUUAAAAGAAUUAAUUAAAUAGAUUUAAUAGAAUAAUAAAAAAAUUUGUUAGGAAUAUUUGAAUUUGAAAAACCUUUAAAGAUCCAAAAUUUUGUAUAACAAGAAUUUAAAAGAUUUAAUUGGCAAUUAAGAAUCCUAAUGGCAAAAGGAUUUGAGCAAACAAAAUUUAUUGGCAAUUUUUUUUAUAAAAAAAAGCUGAUAUAUUUAAUUUAAUAUUUAUAAAUUCAAGUAUUAAUAAUAUUUGAAUUAAAAAACAUAAAAACAAAAAAAAAACAAAACAAAACAAAACAAAACUAAACUGGAAGACUUAUAUUUUGAAGGGUUUAUGUUGAUUGGCUUUCAAACACCACAAAAGUUUUAAUUUGAAUCUUGCAGAUUUUUGUGUAGAGCAAAUUAAAAUUUUGAUUGGUCGUUUAAAUUUCAAGUGUCACAAAAAAGUUUUGCUUUAAUUUAUGUAAGUGGCGCCGAAUUUAUUUUAUUUUAUUAUUUUUUGCUAUUCAAAAAUGAGUGAUGUUAGAAAUAUGUUUAUAAAUAAAGUAAAGAAUUAAAUAGGAGACUUCAAUCAAUGAAACUACAUCUUUUAAAGUUAUUUCAUAAAUCUAUUUCUUUAUUUUCUUCUUUUUUUCAUUAUUUUCUUUUCUAUUAUCAACCGUAUAAAAAGUAUAUGAUAAACCUACACUUUUAUCUUUUAUUUUAUUUAUAUGUAAUAAAAUUAUACUUUAAUUUUAUGGUAACUUUGAUUUUAUAUUUUAUUUAUAUAUGAUAAAAUUAUACUUUGAUUUUAUAUUUUAUUUAUUUUAUUGAAGCGCAUAAACAUACGUGGAUAUCAAUUAGAAAAUAUGUUUUUCUUUCUAGUAAAAAAUUAUUUAAAAAAUAUCAUAAUUAGAUAUUAUGAAAAAUAAGUGCAAUCCUCAUAACUGAAAGUUAUGAGAUAAAUAACAAAAUUACAAGUAUACAGUAUGCAUAUGACUUUUAAUUACUUUUUAAUUAUAUUGUAUAAUUGGAAGUCAACAAUAUUGUGUAGGUAGAAGCUAUAGAAUGAAAUAGUUCAUAACCUAAAACUAUGUAUAAAUUUACACAAUGAAUUCAUAACAUGAAGUUAUGUACAAAUUUGCUCAAUAAAUAGUUCAUAACCUGAAAUUAUAUAUAAAUUUAUAUAUUUUUUUUAUUCUGACAAAAUAAUUUGAAGUUAUAAAAAAUAUUAAUUUUUAAUUUCUAUUUUGUAUUCAUACACUUUUAUCAUAUUUGUAAUUAACAACAAAACAUAGCAAAAUCUUAUAUCAUUAUAUUUUUAGACAUUAUUUAUUUGAUAAAAUAUUGUUAAAUAAUUUUAUUAAUUUGUUUAUAUUUUAUUUCAAUAAAUUGAAAUAUUUUCUCAUUAAAUUAUUGCAUAUAUAGUUUUCAAAAAAUGUCAAGCUUGACAAAGCUUAGGUUUGUUGUCCUUGAUAUUUUAAGGCAAAAACUACUUAUCAUAAGUUCUAGAUACUAAAAUUCACCUAAAUGUAAUGAAUCUUGGAAAUAUUACUAAAAAGGAAAAUGACACAUCCUUGCAUAAUUGUACCAAAGCUUUAAUAUUCCUUGUCAUCACAUUAACGAAGGAUUAAAAGAUGAAUACCUUAUGGUAAAAAUUCCUUUCAUCAUUUGGAAUAAUCUAAGUGAACGAUAUGACCACCAAAAAAUUACAAUCCUUCCAAAAGCAUGUUAUGAUGGGAUGUACUUGAGAUUAUAAGAUUUCAUGUUUUUUAGUGGCUACAACUUAGUUUUAUUCAAAAUUAGCUCACAAUUAAAAUUAUGUGGAGAGAAAGUCAUUGAAGAAGAUAUGCUUAAAAAGACAUUUACGACUUUUCAUGUUGUGAAUGUACUCCUAUAGUAGCAAUAAUGAGAGCGUCGUUUCAUUAAAUAUUCAAAAUUGAUUUAAUGUUUUCUUAUGGUUGAACAAAAUAAUGAGCUUUUACUGAAAAACCAUCAAUCUCGUCCUAUUGGAUCUGUGUCAUUACCUAAAGCUAAUGUCCCAUAUGUCCAAACUUCUGAACAUGGACAAGAACGUGGAUAUGGAUAAGGUUGAGGUAGAGGAUGUGGUCGCGAUUGAGGUCCUAGUAAAUACAAUCCAUCACAUUGAGUUAUAGGUUUUUUUUUUUUUUUAGAAUCAAUCAUUUUAAUUGAUGUAUUAGUGGACCUUUAGGUUAUAGUUUGGACAAAUGUGUCAUUGGCUUCAAGCAAUGACACGGUCCCAACAUGAUGAAAUUAAUGGUUUUUCGGUAAAAGUUCCCUAUUUUGUUCAAUCAUAAGAAGACAUGAAAUUAAUUCUAAAUAUUUGGUGAAACAACGCUCUUAAUAUUGUUGCUGCAUGAGCACAUUUGAGGCAUGAAAAGUCGUAAAUGUCUUUUCAAGUAUAUCUUUUUUAGUGAGUUUUUCUUCACAUAAUUUUAAUUGUGAGCUAAUUUUGAAUAAAGUCAAGUUGUAAUCAUUAACAAACUUGAAAUCUUAUAAUUUCAAGUGCAUUCGAUCAUAGCAUACUUUUUAAAGGAUUACAGUCUUUUGGUGAUCAUAUUGUUCCUCCAAAUUAUUCCAAAUGAUGAAAGGAUCCUUGAUCACAAGGUAUUCACCUUUUAAUCCUUUAUCAAUGGGAUGACAAAGAAAUAUUAAAGUUUUUACGCAAUCCUACAAGGAUGCGUCAUUUCCUUUUUUUUAAUAGUGUUUCUAAGAUUCAUUACAUCUAGAUGAAUUUUAGCAUUCAUAACCUUUUAAUCCUUUAUCAAUGGGAUGGUGAAGGAAUAUUAAAGUUUUGACAUGAUCGUGUAAGAAUGCGUCAUUUCCUUUUUUAAUAGUAUUUCCAAGAUUCAUUACAUCUUGAUGAAUUUUAGUAUUCAUAACCCAAGAUAAAUAGUUUUUGCCAGAAAUAUUGAGGGUAACAAAUUCAAGCUUUGCCAAUUUUGACAUUUUCUAAAAACUAUAUAUGCAAUAAUUUAAUUAGAAAAUAUUUCAAUUUAUCAAAAUAAAAUGUAAAAAAAUUAAUAAAAUUAUUUAACAAUAUUUCAUUAAGUAAAUAGUGUCUAAAAAUAUAAUGAUCUAAAAUCCUGCUAUAUUUUGUUGUCAAUUAUAAAUAUGGUCAAAAUACGUGAAUACGAAAUAGAAUUUAAAAACUAAUUUUUUUUUAUAACUGCAAGCUAUGUUUAUUUUGUUAGAAUAAAAAAAUGUACAAUUUAUAAAUAGCUUCAAAUUAUGAACUAUUCAUUAUGCAAAUUUGCACAUACCUUAAGGUUAUAAUCUAUUCAUUCUAUAGCUUUUAACCAUAUAAUGUUGUUUUAUAUAACUUUCAAUUAUAAAGUAUAAUUAAAAAGAAAUUAGGAAUCAUAUGUAUAACUUCUUACUAUAUAUUUGUAAUGAUGUAAUUUACCCCAUAACUUCUACUUAUGAGGAUUAUAUAUAUUUUUUAUAUAUAACUUCAAGUUAUGAUCUUUUUUCAUAAUUUUUUACUAAAAAAAAAACAUAUUUUCAAAAUAAUAUCUGCAUAUGUUUAUGUAUUUAUAUACGAUAAGCAAAAUAGAAAAUCAAAGUAUAAUUUUAUCACAUAUAAAUAAAAUAGAAAAUAAAAGUAUAGGUUCAUCACAUACCUUUCAUGUGAGAAAAAAGUUUUUCUGGCAGCAAAUUCAUCACUCUUUGUUAUCAAAAAGUUUUUCUAAGGGGAAUAUAAGUUGCUCGAGUUGAUCUUCAAUAAGUAGUUUAGUAUGCAUAAAGUACUUUUUCACGUCAAUCUCUCCUUAACUAAUCAACCAUUGUUUAAGAUAGAUUGUAGAGAGUUUUAUUGAAGUCUCAAUAAGACCAUUAACCAGUGCAUUACAUAUGGAAGAGUUGUAUUAUUGUUUGAAUUCAAAGUUUUCAUAUAAUUUGUGCAUCAAAUUGUUAUAGACAUUAUUUUCAUUAUUGGUAAGAAUUUAGUGAGGAACACUACAUAGAUGCUAGUCCAAAGGAAGUUAAUAGUUGUUUCAUUAUUAACUUCCUUUAGAGUCAGUUUUGCCCAUUUGAAAAAACAAUCUAUAGCCACCAAUACACAAAUGCCUGAUCAUAUGAAGAUUUUAGUCUAAUUGAUCAUAUGAAAUUAAUUAAGUCCUCAUGCAUCAAAGGACCCAAUGCCACCCUUGGAUGUAAUGGCUCUAAGGUAGUAUCUCAUUCUCUUUAUUUAUUUAAAAACGGAUUAUACCAUGUCUAGGCCAAGUAUAAGAGCUAUUAUUGGAGUAGUUUCUUGUAAGGUAAAACAAUACGGGACGAUGUUUCAUUUAGGAGUAACAAAUCCAACCUUGAUACUACUCACUCACAACAUAAUUAUUUUAUUUAUUUAAUUAUUAAAAUUUAUUUAUUUAUUUUGAAUCUCAUAUAGAUGAUAUGCGAAAAUUAGUGAUCGAAUAACUACAAUCAAAUAAUUUGUCAUACUUGUGCAAUAAAUUACUUUGUAAUAUUUUAUUAAUAAUUUAAUAAAGCUUUUUAACAUUUUUUUUAAUAUAAGAUCAGCAUAAAUGCCAACUGUUGUGACUUUCUGAAACGGGCCGAUUAUUCGGCCUGUCAUAGAGUUACUUUCUCUUUUCAGGUCUUUUGGGUUUGAUGAUUUGGAGUGGGUAUGAUAUGUAGAACACUUGAGAAAAAAAAAAAAAUUACGAUUAAGAAGAAAUUAGAAUAUCCACACAUGUACAAUCCACUAAAAGUCAACCUUGUCAAACAACAGUUGAGCACUGCGAAGUAGAAGGGUCAAGCACUGCAGGUAGGAGGUAUUUCCUGCUGUUUACACCCAGCGCAUUAUAGCUCGCACCGGUGCUGGAAUCCACCAACAGCUCUCCGGCGUAUCCCGGAUAAGCUCCUUUCCCAUAAAUUCCUGGGCAAGCUGAAGCCACCUCCAGAGGCGCCUCAGCUGAGCCCUGGAAAUAGCCGUUUCCAAAAGGGUUGGUUACAGUUCCGGCCAGAAGAGUCGCUAUAUUUUCGACCAUGCCAUCCAACCCCACGUCCCCGUUGGGUGCAAUCAGUGGUGUUGUCUGUGGUCCGUAGAUGGGUUGGUGGAAGGGCCACGCGCAUUGGCCAGGGCACUGAGUCUCCGAGUUCCCAACCCAGAUGAAGGCUGACCUCUUUCUAGCGUCCGACCCAUGAAACCCGCAGUUGCUCAUACAGAAGCCUUCAACUGCAACGUCUUUUGCUGUGAGAACCAGAGUUAACCCACUGGAUUUGGAGCUUACAGCACGAGCCAACUCGGAAAUCUGGGAUUUCUUGAGGGUUUUGCCCAUGGAACAGGACUCAUCUGAGAUUUGAUUGGACAGUUCAAUUUGGAUCUCCCUUUUGCCAGCCUUUUUCAAGUAGGUUUGGAUAGUUUUCCACCACUGCGAGGUUGAAGGUUUUUUAGAGGAGAGAUUCUCUGGUUGAUCAUGUGGGUCGAGGGAGAGAAGAAAGUCUGCAACAAUAGAUUUCUGAGCCGGUGAGAAUUGUCCGUACCAAAGAAUUGAUACUGGGAGAUGUCCUUCAAGCAAAGCGCCAUUAUGGUAUGUGAGAGCCAUGGGUGGUGGCUGGUACAAUGAAGUUAGCUUUCUUGCGCAGAAACACGGGCUAAUGAAGAACAAGUGAAAAAUAACAACGACAACAACAAGAGAGUGUGUUUUGAGGGAGAGAGAGAAAGCCAUUUCAGAGAUAAACUAAAGAGUGUUGAUGUUCGAAUAAAGGACAGAUAGUUUAAAAUUUUAGAGAGAAAGGUUUUGGCUUGAGUGGUGUGAGAGAGAGUCAGGGAGUGGUGAGAGUAUAUGUAGGCGGGAAGGUGCAUGCACCGUGCCGAUAAACUGCCCUUGUACCUUUCAUCACCAGCUUAGCAGAUAAAAAAAUUAGAGAGAUCACGAGAAUUUGGAAAGAUGAGGUGAACGGGGAACAUCUGGCAAGAAUCUCUCUCUGUGCGUAAAGUAUUUUUUGUAUAGAGAUUAGGAGACUCUGCUGACGCUUACAUCGAUUUCAUAGAUGGUAAUGUGGCAUGCAAGGAGGGAAGUACAACCGCGACUCUUAAUGGACAAAUGGGUGGAGCUAUGGGCUGCAUGUGUUUGGAGCUGUUUCCUAGGCAGUUUCACAUUUCUUCUUCAUUAAUUAUAAUCUUUUUUAAAAGAGGAUAACUCAGAUUAAUUCAAUUGAUUUAAGGGCACCCCAACAAUUAAGAGCAUGUCUUAGCCAAGAGAGAAAUGUCCCAUUUGUUCAGACUAAAGUUGUCCACAUCAACUUGGCUUUGUCUUCUAACAUCUGCCUGAGGGCUCAGGACCUCGUUGUUGUUGCAUAAUAAUAAGUGUUUUGCAGUACUGCUGUUGGGGAUUAUGAUUUUGGUGUUUUCAAAACUCAUGUGUCCAAAUGGAGGUAGCCCAGGUUCAUAUGUACUGUAGUAAUGAUCAGAAGUCUAUCCUCAUCUAACAUGCAAUGCACUUGCCCAUACAUCAUGGGCAUUCCGAAAGUUUAGGUUCAUAUUGCAGAAAAAAUGAUGGCAGGCACUAAGCUUGCCAUGCUCUUGUGGGUCCUAAUGUUAUGUCACAUGCCUCUCUUCAUUGGGAGUGGGUGGGGUAGCUAUAAGUUGGGUAUUCUGCAAUCAACCUGGGAUAUAUAAACCUAUAGCCCAUUUCCUAUAUGCAUGUAGUAUAGUUGAUUACACAGCCUAUCCUUUUGGAAUAGGCUUUAAACUCACCUAACCAACACGGAUUAAAUUUCAUCAGCAGUACAGUCCCCUUGGCCGGUCCGUCAAAGGGUUCCCCAUCAGAGCAGUUGAAUUAAAGCAUCUCAUUAAACAUUGUUAUGGUCAUCAUUUGAUUUGACCUUUGACCUAAAAGGUUCCUUCCCAAACUUUAGUUGGAGAAUAAUGAUGGAAAUCAGAUUAAGAUUAGGAUCAAUCGAAUUGGGAGUCAUAGGAAAAAUCUCAUGAAAACAAACUGACUUGUUUUAAUUAUCCACAUUUGCAUAUCACUAAUCUGUUCGAUCUACUCAAAAGAAAAUUCAUUUAAUUCUAAAUGCAUCCCAGCGAAUUGAGACAAUGACCACACAAUGAUCACAUGUAUUUUUACUUUUAUAGCAGUCACAAACACGCUCACAUGACCCUUUUUCUAGUGUGAAAGCCUGGUACUUGGUCGGCAAGCAGACUCUGGCAAGAAAAGUGGAAUCAUCCAUUUCUUAGAGGGCGUCCGAAAUCCAAAUAGACCGUGAAGCUUACAUUUCCCAAGCACCACUCGUGCAGCUUCAAUAUUAAACUAUUCAAACUUUCAUUAAUUGGUGAAACCAUCCUCGCAAGUAUAGAAAAUAUAUGUUGAACACAUCAACUAUCAGCAGACAGGCUGGUUGCUCGGAUCGAGUUUAUUGGAAGCUGGUGGCUUAGGAGAUUAGAGGGUGUCUUCUGAUGAUGCUACGAAUUUGAUAUUGAAAAUGUCACGAUGAUAGCUUUACUUAUUCAAUGGACGCCAAAUUCAUUAAGAAAAUGAUAGUCAAUUUGUCGCCCGUCUUCUACACAUGAUUUAUGAUCAAACGGCUUAAAUUUCAUGAUCAUGAGUCAUCAUCAUUAAUUACCCUUGAACCUAGAUUUUGAGCACUUUGAAAAUGCAGAAAUAAUGGGAAGAUUGACUGUGUGAGUGUAUUAUUGAUCUUCCAGGAAGGUGGGGCAUUGACUGUUUUACAAGCAUAUCCCACAAGGCUUGCUGCCAUCUUCUCAUACAGGAAUGAUUUUUUGGAAAUGGCUUUGAAGUGAAGGCAUCUAUGUUGAAUGGGGGACAGGAUAUACAGACCAUCCAUAUUCCUCCGGUCUCCUGCUUACCUGCAUCAAUGACUUGUAACUUCAAUAAUUGUUUUUUAAAUUUCUUUCUUCUACAAACAACUUUUUCCCUUUCUUAUAUUUGAGAAUUUGAAGAAUGUUCAAAACUAUUACCAAAAAUUACAAACUAUUAUGUUAUUUAUUCAAUAAUGUUGCAUGCAGGGAUGCCACCGGGUAUGUUUUUUUGGAUGCUUGUCCUUAAAAUUUAAAUAAUAAGUUGGGGACGGAUUUAUGAUUAUUUUUUAAAAUUGGGAUGGAUUCGGACAGGUUUAGAUAUUGUUUGUCCCACCUGCCUGAUUAUUUUUCAAAAUUAAUUUUAAAUUUUAAUUUAAUUUUGAUUUUCCCAUUUUAAAAAUAUAAUAAUAAUAAUAAUAAUAAUAAUAAUAAUAAAUUACUUUGUGAUAAAAUAAGGUAUAAAAAUUAUAAUAUUUUAAUUAUUUAUAAAAUAUAUUUAUUUUAAUGUAAUUUAAAAUUUUAAAUAAAAUAAAAUAAAAUAAUUUUACAAAAAAAAGUUAAAUAGACCUAGUGGGGCAGAAGAGAGAAAUGCAUACCUAUUUUGUCCAUCCCUUCUAUUUAAUUUUUUUAAUUGGACUGAAAUAGGAAUAAUUUUGAAUAAGGGGAAUGGAGUCGGGAUGGGAUGGCCGCCCGUUACCAUCCCUGGUUGCAUACUUGCAUGUAAAUGAAUAUAAGGCAAUAGCAGCAAUUCCCACACUCACCGAAUAUUUUUCAAAUAUUGGUUCAUCCUCUGCAUGUUGGUCAAGUCAGAAUCCUUUUCUUCUGUGUAUGCCCUGGCGCAGACACUUUAAAAUUUUUUAAAUCAUUCAAGGUCUGUUUGGUAGUUUCCAUUUUGGAAAACAAACAGUAUUUUUUUUAUAUCUAAACAUAUAUGGCCAUAGAAAUGAAAACAAACACAAUUUUUUCUUUAAUUAUUUUUUCCUUUUGAAAAAACUAUAUAGUCUAUAUUUUAUAGUUGAUACUUUCUUGAAUCUCAUCUCUCAAGAAAAUAUUUCUUUUGGAAAAAUAUGAGGAUAUCGUUAAAAAUUUGAAUUGUAAGACAUUCAAAAAUUUUCAUUUGAAUUAUUAAGAAUUUCUUAUAUGGAGAAGAAGACCACCAUUUAUAAUAAUACAUGAAUUAUUGGUUAAUUUAGAUGCUUAUCCAAUUAGCACCUCAAUUUUUCUUUGAGUUUGCAAUAAAUUAUAACUUUUAGUUGACCAAUGUAUUAAUAUGAUAUUAAAUUAUCAAUUAAUUUAAAAUUUUAAUUUAUUAGGUAAUUGAUUAAUAAUAUAUUGUAAAAUAAUGGAGAAUUUAUAGAAGCCAACCCAUCAAUUUUCACCAGACAAGCUGUUUUGCUUAGGAUUAUGCAAUAUCUUCCCAUAAUAAAUUAGAAACUAUUUGGAUGUUCAGCACUUAAUUAGGUUACAAAAAAUAGCUUAAUUUUCAUUGGCCGUGGAUGAAUCGCUUAUCAAUAAUUAGUCUCUGGAGCCUGAUUUUCAGUACUUUCAAUCAGAGAAAUAGCAAGAUUGACUCAGUCGAGAUAUUAGUUGUGUUAUUGUCCUUGAAUGAAGGGAGGGCAUGAACCCUCAACAUAUCCACAAGGCCUGCUUCCAUCUUCUCAUACAAAAAUUGAUCUGUAAAUUGCUUUAAAAUGAAGCAGUUAGGUUGAAUGGGGGACACGAUGUGCAGGCCAUUCAUAUUCUUCUGGUCUCCUCUUCGCCCGCAUGCAUGACUGGUAACUUCAAUUAUUGAUUUCCAUUAAUUCUUCUUGCGAUAUAUAUUUUUUUCCCAUCUCUUCUAUUUGAGGCUUUUAAGAGUACCCAUAGCUUUAGGAAUCAAAAUAAUUCAAAAACAAACAAACAAACAAACCCAUCCUUCCAUGUGAAUGAACAGCUUCCAUAUUCUUCCAGCUUCAAAUUGAAUUUUAGAUUCAAUUAAUUGAAAAACUAUGGCAUACUUUCAUGCCCAUCAGACAUCCAAGCAAGAAUGUAAUCUUGCUCUGAUCCAAAGGGAUGAGAAGAUGAGUGCAAAUGGACAAGUACAGCUACAAGCUCUCCACAUUACAGACAAAAAGAAUCCCUUAUGAGGUGAAAGUCAAGAAAAUGAGCAAGCAAUCUAGGCUUAGAUUCACGAGACACACCACCCGUGCCCCUACAAAGCCAUAUUAAACUGAGGAUAAAGCCUGCACCACCACCAGACACGGCGUCGAAUUUAAGAAGAGUAAUGCAAAUGGAUGCAUUAUCAAAACAUUUCAACGUUAUUAAUAUAUAGAGUUGAGAUAAGGUAGUUUUAUAAUCACAUGGAUUAAUUAGGAGUGAAUGCCUCGUGGCCCGUGGGUGCUAGCUUUUGGAUAAUGUUUUAAGAUAUCGUUGCCUGGCUCGUGAAUUCUAGGUUUUAGUCUUUUAGAUAGGGUGACGACUGGCCUCCGCCCUCCGCCCUCCGCCCUCAGCUCACCUUUCUCUUUACUUUGAUUUCCACCUAAUUUGUUUUUAUCAGGCACAAAUCCAAAGUCCAACUAAGAAGCUUCCAUUCACUAUGUCAAGCUAUCCAAUAUCAUCAUCAUAGAUUCAUAGCUUCCCUUGUCUAUUUCUUGGAAAAAUCUUUCAGGAUUUCAUUUAUUUUAUAAGAAAUUUAAUGUUAAAAAGUUGUAAAACAGUUUAAUAAACCAUACUUAAUUGCCACAAAACACCAUUCAUACGUCAUUCAUAUUCUAAUUAAAAAAAAAAUAAUUUCUUCACUGAGAAUUGAGAUUGCAAACAUUGUUUUGAUGAAAGAAUGUAAAAUUAUAUCGAAAACGAUGGGAUAAAUUUUUUUAUGCUAUUCUGAAAAUCAUUACCAUAUCAAAUUAAAAAUAUAAAUUUAAAUAGGAUUAAAAUUUUAACUAUGAGUAACUUUAAAUUUUCAAAUGUAAUUUGAGAAGUAAAAUUUAAUUUAAUAUAUUCAUUUGUAUAUCAAAAUUAGAAAAAAAUAAUCUUUCACAACAUGUUUAAAAUUUAUGUCUAAAUUAAAAAAAUUAUCAGGUACUUAUAAAUUAUUUUUCAAAUCAAUACUCCAUUUAAAUGAAUAUAAUGAAUUUGCUAUUUAUUAAACUUUCAUUUGGGUACAUUUUUAUAUUUUUACUUAAUUUCUAUCUAUAAAAUGUAGAAACUUUAAUAGAAAAAAAAUUACAAAUUUAUUUUUUGUUUUAAAAAAUUAUUUUUUAAAAUUCUAAAUUUUUAGAUGGUAAUUUUUUUUAAUACCUCACAAUUUCCAAUCAAUUUUUAGAAACCUUUUAAGAUUUUUUUUAAUAUUUUAUAUGUAAGUUACUAUUGUUUUUUGUUUUUUGUUUUUAAAUUACAUCUAAUACACUAACGCUCAUUUAGACGCAUUUCCUUCUUUUUUUUUUUUUUUUUUAAUGAUAAUAACUUUUACAACAUAUUAUAAUAGCUCCUAUGUAAAAGAUAUACACAUUUCUUGUGAUUUUUUAAAAUUUUGAGAUAAUAAUUUUUUUAGUGGCUCUAAUUUCAUAAACAAAUUUUUAAGUAAAUUUCUUGUUACAGAAGUUAUUAUUUUAUGUUUCUAAAAUAAAAAAUUGACAAAUGUAUCCAAAGUACUCAUUUACAAACUCCAUCUAUAUCAACAUUUGGAAUAACAAAAAAUAAAUUAAUCUGGGUCUUUUGGUCACAUUUUUAUUCUUUUAACUUAAAAACAAAUUUAAGAAAACAUGGUUAAAUGACCCAUGUUUUCCUUUUGAUUUUAAAAAUUGAUAAAAAAAUUUCUACUUAUUUUUAAAAAUUAUUUUUAAUUUCAUUUUUUUUAAAAAAAAAUUGUUUAUAAAGAAGAACAACCAAAUAUUUUUUUUUUUAAAUAAAGCUCUUUUUAAAUCACCAUGAAACAUGCUUUUAUUUACCACAAAAUAAAAAAACUUUUAAUUUCUUAAACAGUUUUUCAUUUAAAAAAUUUAUCCGUGUAUAAAUUUUGAAAUUGUUAGGAGCAAUGGCUUUUAAUCAUUUUGAUGACAUGCCCCAAAAUCUAAAAUUUUUAUUAAGCAAUUAAAAUAUCUCUGAGAGAUAUUUUUGUUCAAUGAAUCAAUGGAAUGGAGUGCAUGAGAAGAUAUUCAAAUGGUGUACAUGAGAAGACAUAUCAUGUUUGGUUCAAUGUUGGGGAUUAGAAAUGACAAUGAAACGAAUUGUCUCGUCCCGUCUCCAUCAUUCAAGCAUAGUAGUUUCAUUCCCACCCAAAACGCCAUCCUUACCCUGGACUACACAUCUUACUUACCCUCCACGCCUUUUACAGCUCAGCUCUCUCAUAGACAAUGAUUGGCAUCAUUAUUUGGAAAAGAAAAAGGCAGACAAUAAUCAUCGAGACAAAAAUUAAUAAAACAUAUGUUAAAAAUCCAACCUGUAAGGCUGUAACCCACCAAAAGUCCCUGAGAAGGUGCAGGGGAAAUGCUAGUAUGAUUUUGUGCACACAGUUGAUUGAGGAUUGCCAUGAAACUUAAUGUGUAAGUCAAAAUUCUAACCACUACGGAAAUAAAUCUUAAAUGGAAAAUGAAAAAUGAAAAAUAUUUGAAUAAAAGAUAUGUUUGGAGAAACAAGUCUAUCAUAAUUCUGCAUUGGUAGCAUUAUUUGGAAAAAAAUAUAAACCAUGGCUUAUCUUUUAUUAACCUGCAUUGCUCAAAGCAGUAGUAACCAAUUUUUUUUUCUUUAUUUAGAUUGGUCAAUUUUAAAUCUUGAAACACGUAGCCCCACACGUGACCAGCAAAAUGGCUUGGUACUAGGAAAAGCAAUUUGUGCCCAAAACGUGGGAGUAACAAAAUGGGUAUGAGACUUUUAGUUUUAGUCACUGGGGAGAGAAUUUUGGCAGCAACAAGUUUCUUCUUUCUUAACAUUACAGUCUUACAGAGUAAACUUAGGGCCAUGCUACCAGGGAGAGGCAAGGGAUUUGGCCCCAAAAUGUACGAUUUUUCUUUGUUAAAUCAAUGCAAACAACUAUCACCCAUUAAUUUUAAUGAGUGAAAUCAUUUUACUCCAGAAAUCAGAAGUUGCAAUAGAGUAGUAAUAGAAGGCGUUCAUAAUUUUGGGUUUAAAGUGGGAAGUUAAUUAAAAUUUGGGCAAAACGUGCUUACUGGGGGUAGUGGGCAAUAAAGAAGUGAAUAGAGGUGGUAGGGGAGCUGUCAUCCAGCUGGACUCUCAAAUGCAAAAAUGGGUAUUCGUUUAUCCCAACUCACAAGUCACAAGUCACGAGUAGUAUGUGAAUUGGCAAUGGCAGCUAAUGACUCAUGAGAAAUGGCAGAGCGCGUCAUCUCUCCUUCUCGCCUCGGAUGCUCACUGUCACACUGUUUCCCCACUCUUUUAUCAACCUCAAGGUCCCAAUGCUGACUGCCAGUUGGAUCGUCCGCGCUUCCCGAUAUUAUUUCUAUAUUGAGCCCCAAGCCCCUUCCAGCCUGUCACCUUUCCUACCUUCUCCAACGUCUCUCUCUGCCUUUUUUGCUUUUCCCAUUCAAUGCCCUUCACUCUCUCCACCGCUACGGCUCCACAGUACUCAUUCUGAGGCCUACUUUGGUCAAAUCAAAAGUCCUCUCAAACUGUAUCCAAGCUGUAUUUAGGUUUUGUCCUGUAGCUAUAAAAAUUGAAAAGGAAAGGAGAAACUGACUUUAACAGGGGCACUCCUCUGGAAACUUUUAAAAAAGUGCCGGCUGGCAUUGCCCUUUGUGUUCUUAAUGCAUACAAAAGUGCAAAUGGCUUUGUGAUUUUUCUGACUGGAGCGUGUUAUUUGGGGCCUCAGGUUUUUUAUAGAACCGCGUUGGAGAGUACCGUUGCCUCUCUCAAACUUCAACUGCCCCUUGCAUCUUUCUGAGCAGGUUCGAACGAGGCCCCACCGCACAGCCCACUCCUUCGAUUUAAAAUUGUGACACCAGACGGUCUAUAUAUAGAGACUCACACCCCUCUUGUCUCUACACAGACUCAAAACCACAUCAGCAGCCUCUCCUCCUGCUUCAUUUUCCUUGUCCACAACAUUUCUCUAUCUGCGUUCUAAAUAUGGUUUCUUUUAUCUCUAUACGCCAUUUUCUGCCAUUCCUCUUUGUGAUCUCUCUGUUCCAUGUGAGCUAUGCUGCGAGGAAGCUCAAUGAGCUGGUACAACAGCAGCCUCUGCUCUUGGAAUACCAUAAUGGCCCUCUCCUCUCUGGAAAAAUCUCUAUAAACCUAAUCUGGUACGGCAAAUUCAAGCCUUCCCAGCGGGCUAUCGUUUCAGAUUUCAUUACCUCCCUUUCUUCUUCUUCCCUGUCUCAGGACCAGCCUUCCGUUGCCACCUGGUGGAAAACCACAGAGAAGUACUACCACCUCACCUCCAAGAACCCAUCUUCACUCAAGCUCUCCUUGGGCGAACAAAUACUCGAUGAGACCUACUCGCUCGGGAAGUCACUCACAGGGAAGCAAAUCGUUCAGUUGGCUUCCAAGGGUGAACAAAUGAACGCCAUUAACGUGGUUUUGACCUCCUCUGAUGUGGCCGUGGAAGGGUUCUGCUCCAGCCGCUGCGGGACUCAUGGAUCUUCUUCGAGUUCCAAGAAUGUUCAAGUCAAGGGCAAGAACUACAAGUUUGCAUACGUCUGGGUUGGGAACUCUGAGACUCAGUGCCCUGGCCAAUGCGCCUGGCCCUUCCACCAGCCCAUCUACGGACCCCAGAGCCCACCGCUAGUCGCACCGAACAACGAUGUGGGUCUGGAUGGCAUAGUCAUAAACUUGGCUAGCCUCUUGGCUGGAACUGCGACCAACCCUUUUGGAAAUGGCUACUUCCAGGGUCCGGCGGAGGCGCCCCUAGAAGCUGCAUCGGCUUGCCCUGGGGUUUACGGGAAGGGGGCAUACCCUGGGUAUGCUGGGGAUUUGUUGGUGGAUUCAGUGACUGGUGCUAGCUAUAAUGCCCAUGGUGCCAACGGGAGGAAGUACUUGCUUCCUGCCUUGUAUGAUCCUUCUACAUCCUCGUGUUCUACUCUGGUCUGAAGCAGAUUAGUGUCUUGACGACAGAAACUUCGUAGAAUUUACAGGCCUUAGAAAAAUCCAGAGAGAUACUGUUAUUCAUUCAUUUAUUUGUUCUUCCCGUGGUAGUUUCAAUAAUAUCAAAGCAAAUUGGUUUGGUUUGCUUUUUUCACUUGAAUGCAUCUUUCCAAAUUACAAUGCCUCAACAUGAAUGAAUGAGGUGAUUUGUUGCAGUGUUGAGGAUAUUCCCAGUGAAAUGGGUUCUACUCAUUGAGAAUUACUUUAAUUACUCUUAUGUCCUUCCUUCUCAGUGGUUGUACCUGUGCCAGCGCUUAAAGCCGUGUGCAGUAUGUAUAAAGGCGUGGCAUAUGGAAUUUUAUCUCUUAACAGGGUAUUGGAUCACAAGCACCCCCAACACAAUCACGGGAUUGAGGCGAAAUAGACAUAAUAGCAUCCUCCCACGUAGAAAUUGUUGACUUUGAUCCUCAAACAAGAAAUUGUUAAUACCUAAAUAUAAGAUUCUAACAAUUUUAAACGGAUUUACAUAAUUAAGAAAAAUUUAUACAUAAUUAAAAAACGUUUAGUCACGUCUAAAAUUUCCCGUUGGAUAGAAUUAUUAUUUUAUCAAGAGCUUUCAUACAAUACCAAUGCCAUUUAAUGUGCCGAUAAUAAUAACAUUAUCUUAGCAAUGUAUAAUAACAUUUGGCACUUUCAUCUUUACGUUUGCCUUAAUGAGUAAAUUACCAAUUAAAAAUAUUGCUAAGAAGCUCUAAACGGCAUUUUGCAUUGGAGAUGCUCUAAAACAUGUGUUAAUCACACAUUUCUAAGUCUCUUAACUCUGGAUCUACUUCAUUAAAUCAGGAAUUGUGAGGUUACCAUUAAUAGUGAAAAAUGAGACACACACUUCCCAAUUAUCUUACUAUUAUAACCUCGGAUUCUCCGCCGGCUUGGCUGAAUCUAAGUACUGGGUGUGAGGGUUUAUAAGUGGAUAUACUCAAGGCAACUAAGCCUUUUUUUUUUUUUUUUUUAUGAAGUGAGAUCUUAUACUUUGAAAAGCAUUGGAAGAUCAACUAAAUCUAUUUUUCUACGGAAGAAGUGAGAUCUUAUAUAUAUAUAUAUAUAUAUAUAUAUAUUCUUGUUUUGUAUAAGUGGAUAAUUUAUUUUCCUAAGAUAAUUUAUUCCUAAGAAAAUCUUACUUCAAGUAUUUUAUGGAAUCUAAAAAUUUAAAAUUUUUAUUUUUAUUUAUAAUCUAAAUGUUAAAUAAAAUUUUAAUAUUAAUUUUAUAAUUUUAUACAAAUUUAUGAUUUCUCAUUUUAGUAAGGGAAAUUUUUUUUAAAAUUAUAUAAAUAUGAAUUUUUCUUCAUUAUUUAGAAGCCGUUAAUGUUCUUUUGACUCACACGCAUAUAAUAUCUAUCCGAUUAAAAUUGCACCAUUAAUAUGUUUGUAAUAUCUCAUGUUAAUGUUCUUUUGACUCAAACGCAUAUAAUAUCUAUCCGAUUGAAAUAGCACCAUGAAUAUGUUUGUAAUAUCUCAUAUUGAUCGGGGAAAAUAGAAGAUAUUUUUUUAUGCAAACCUCCACAACCCGCUUAAAGAACGAAGAAUCGAAACCAUUUAAUGUACGCGUCCGGACAGAUAGUAAUGGAGCAGAGCCAUUUCCAUUUCUCUUUCUUCAGGUAUGCACUAACCAGGAAGCACCCAACUUUCUCCCUUCCCAUUUUCCUUGUUGGAGUCAGCUGUCUUCAGUGUCCGUAUCUAGUUUUUGUUCCGCUAUCACACUCCUUUUUGUUCCGCUAUCACACUCCAUCUAGUUAUGUGCCAUAAUUCCCUUUGUCAUAUUCUGACGGAAAAACCAAUUAAAUCCUUAAUCAUCAAGCUAAAACAUUUGUUCUUUGAAACUACAAAUUUAGGCUCUAUGUGGACCCCGCAUUUCGGCUUAAUGCGUUUCCCACUCGAUGACGAAACUCGAUUUUUAUUUGAAAAAAAUUGAUUUUUAUUGAUUAAGAAAAAUGACUUGGAGUCGUCACUUAUUUUUGUUUUAUUUUUAAAGGGUAAACAAAAUAAGAAAGAAAAACCCUAAGUGUAACUCCUUAUUUUGGAAAAGGUGGUCUGUGAAAAACCGGAUCGGGUUCGGGGGUUAGGUUACUUAUCGGGAAGGUACGGUAAAGACCAUAGCACCCCUCUAAGUCCCUAAAAACGGGUCUCUACUAAUAAAAUGAAGCUAACAUGGCAACCAAUGAGAAAGUCAAUGAAUACUCAAAUCGAUCAUGCACGUAUGAGUAUCAGAAUAUGCAAUAGAGGAUAACCGAAGUGAAAGUGGAUGCGUACCUGAUCAGCAAACGGCAACGCGCUGAAAGAACCCUUUUCCAGUAAGGCUCUGUUUAGCUGUCAAUGCCUUCAAUCCUCCUCCAAUGUCGACAAAGCCAACCAGCUUACCCUUCUGAACAGCACCCCCUCCUCCUGCAGCUCCAAUGAACCCCUCCGAAGCUCCCUUCUCCUCUCCAGCUCAAGAGAUCACUCUCUCAGCCAAAAGAUUUCUCCUCUGCCCCAAAAACUGCAAAACCCCCACAACCUUCCAAAAGCAACCUCACUUUCUCAGAAUCCUUCCUCCCUUCCUGCCUCAAAAUGACUAAACAAAAGCUCUCCCCUCAAAAGAUCUCUGCAGCCUCCAACUUCUCUCUCCCCUCGUUUUUCCCCUCAACCCUCCGUGUCAAGAUAUCUUCACCUCUUUUACUAAAAGCCCAUCUCUGAAAAGCAUCUCCCUCUCUGAAAAAAAAUCCCCAACGGCAGCCCAGACCCCUUCUCCUGCAGCUGGCCUGCUGCUCCUCAACAGAAACGUACCUCCUCUCUAACGGCCAGAAUAUCUCCAUGCCACGUGUCAAACUCUCACUCGCUCCUCAAUUCCACCAUCUGUUUCUAUGACCACCAACCACGAGGCGACACGUGGCUCCUUGAGAGCCCUCCACCUGCAAAGAAUUAUAACCUGUAGAGAUGCAAAGGAAUGAGCCCCAAAUGGGGGUCUACACUCUAAUAUUAAAAUUUAUUUUUAAAAUAAAAAAAUAGAUACUAUAUCUAUUAAUGUUUAUUACUUAUUUUUAAGAGUUUUGGGUCAAAAUGGUCAUUUUAAAAAAAAAAAAUUGUAACAUCUAACCACUCUUUGAAACUUAUGUUCAAAUUAGGCUCUUUGGUACCACGUAGACGCCGUCUUCAUUAAAAAAUAUUUUUUUCAUCAUUUUAGUUAAAGUCGCAGUUGAUAAUCGCGAUUUCAUUUUUGAACUAAAGUCGCAGUUGGCAAUUGUGGCUUCAUUUUUAAACUAAAGUCGCAGUUGACAAUUGCAGUUUUAUUUUUGAAAAAACUGUAGUUGUCAACUGAGACUUUAGUUAAUUUUUUUUUAAAAUUUAAAAUUUAAUUAAAAAUUAUUAAAUUACAAAUUUAUGAUUGAAAAAUUAAAAUAUACUUAAAUAAUAAAUUAUUUAUAUUUAAAUUUAAAAAUCUAGUAUUACUUCAGCAAACAUAAAUUGAUAAAUAGAAUAUAUUAUAAAUGAAUAUUUUAUUUAUUAAUAAAUUAAUAAUCUUAAAAUAAUAAACUUGUAUAACAUAUAAAUAAUAUAUAAAAUUGUAUAAUUUAUUAAUUUAAGAUAUUUAAUUUGUUGUUUUUUAAAAUAUUAAUUUAUUUGUAUUAUGAUAAAUUUAUCUUUAUCGAAAUAAUUGUAUACUUUUAAGCUGCAAUUGAUAACUAAGAUUUCAAUUAUAAUUUUUUUUACUUUCAAAUUUAAUUAAAAACUAUUAAAUUACAAUUUAUGAUUGAAAUUUAAAAAAUAUACUUAAAUAAUAAAUUAUUUAUAUUUAAACUUAAAUUAUUUAUAAGAACAUGUUCAUAUUUAAAUAUAAAUAAUUUAUUAUUUAAGUAUAUUUUUUAAAUUUCAAUUAAUUUUUAAUUAAAUUUGAAAGUAAAAAAAAAAAAUUAUAAUUGAAAUCUCAAUUAUCAAUUGCGGGUUAAAAGUAUAUUAUUAUUUUGAUAAAGAUAAAUUUAUCAUAAUACAAAUAAAUUAAUAUCUUAAAAAACAAAAAAUUAAAUAUCUUAAAUUAAUAAAUUAUAUAAUUUUAUAUAUUAUUUAUAUGUUAUAUAAGUUUAUUAUUUUAAGAUUAUUAAUUUAUUAAUAAAUAAAAAUAUUUAUUUGUAAUAUAUUUUAUUUAUCAAUUUAUAUUUAUUAAAGUAAUACUAGAUUUUUAAAUUUAAAUAUAAAUAAUUUAUUAUUUAAGUAUAUUUUUAAAUUUUAAUCAUAAAUUAUAAUUUAAUAAUUUUUAAUUAAAUUUUAAAUUUUUUUAAAAAAUUAACUAACAGUUAACAAUUACGACUUCAAUUAAAAUGACGAAAUUUUUUUUUAAUAAUAUAAUAUUUAGGUGUUACCAAAAAAAAUCAAUUUGAACAUCAUAAGUCUCAAAGUGGCGGAUGUUACCAUUUUUUUUUUUUAAGGUUCAUUUUGACCCAAAACUCUAUUUUUAAAAUCUGGUUUUCAAAACAAUCAUGGAGGAUGAUGAGUUGUUCUCCAAAGACGUUCAAAUAAAUGUAUUUAUAAUUUAGAAAAUGGUAAAAAAAAAUAACAAAAUGGAAGAAAAAUAAUAAAGAAAAGAAAAGUUUGACGAUGAUAAAAAGUCACCCCUAGGCUCUUAAUGUCCUUAGCUGUAAACGUAGGGUUUUUGAUUUUUCACAGCGAAAGACAGAUCCGCACUCAACCAGAUUAAUUUCGAACGCGCUAUUGAGUAUUGAGCUGGCAUUUGCUUCGCUUUUCGCCUUUUCCCUUCCUUCUCGGCACUUUCAUUCAUACCCUCCCCCUCGCUCCUCUCACGCUGUUGGUCACACUCUCCCCACUGCCUAUUUUACUAUAUAUAUGAAACCCCCAAUUCAUCUUCUCCUCACUCCAAAGUUCCAAACCCCCACCAAAGCCAUCUAUCUCUACAGCUUAGCUUCACUGCACUCUAAAGUCCUAACUACCAUGGCAUCUUUCGUUCCUACUCAAUGCCUUUUACAACUCCUCUUUGUGGCUUCUCUGUUUCCAUUCAUCUCAGCAGCCAGGAGACUUGCUCAAGACCAGCAACCUCUGCUUCUUCAAUACCACAAUGGCCCUCUUCUUUCCGGAAAAAUCUCCAUUAAUCUCAUCUGGUACGGAAAGUUCAAGCCUUCCCAACGCGCCAUUGUUUCUGAUUUCAUUACCUCCCUCUCUUCCUCCAAAACCACCCCCCACCAACCCUCUGUUGCGGCGUGGUGGAAUACCAUCGACAAAUACUACCUCCUCAUUAAGUCCAAGAAAUCCACCUCCCUCGGUCUCUCCCUAGGCACCCAAAUCCUCGACGAGAACUACUCUUUGGGUAAAUCACUGACCAGUCGAAAUCUCAAACAGUUGGCAGCAAAGGGGCAGCAGAGCAACGCCAUUAACGUAGUCUUGACAUCUUCUGAUGUAGCCGUUGAAGGGUUCUGCUCCAGCAGGUGCGGAACACAUGGGUCUUCUCCCAGCUCCAAGACUGCUAAGGUUAAUGGCAAGAUCUCCAAGUUCGCAUACAUCUGGGUGGGUAACUCCGAGACUCAGUGCCCAGGUCAAUGCGCAUGGCCAUUCCACCAGCCCAUUUACGGACCCCAGAGUCCACCCCUGUCCGCACCCAACAACGAUGUGGGUAUGGAAGGUAUAGUUAUGAACCUGGCUAGCCUCUUGGCUGGAACUGUUACGAACCCCUUUGGAAAUGGAUACUACCAAGGUUCCGCAGAGGCUCCCCUGGAGGCUGCAUCGGCUUGCCCUGGGAUUUAUGGGAAGGGCGCGUACCCUGGCUAUGCCGGAAAGCUGUUGGAGGAUCCCACCACAGGUGCUAGCUAUAAUGCCAAUGGUGUGAAUGGGAGGAAGUACCUGCUUCCUGCAUUGCUUGAUCCUUCAACUUCCACCUGUUCUACUCUGGUCUGAUAGACUGAUACUACUAUGCUUCUCUAAAUUCAUUUAGUUGUAUAGCACGGAGAGGAUAAGCGAUUCUUUGUUUGUAUUUGAUUAAUUACCAUUAUGUAUUCUUUUUCCCGUCUGAAUAAAUGAAAUUCCAAUGUUUUCUUUCAUAUCCAAACCAGCUCAGCCUUCCUCUGAUAUUUUUUCUUCACAUCCCAAUCCCAAUCCCAACAAAAGCCGCACUGCGCCCUCCUCUGCUAUUCAAACUCGUCUGUGGUCAAAAUCAUUAAUGAGAUCCACCAUUGGAGAAAGCUUUAUAAUAAGGAAAGUUUUAAGCAAAACCUUUAGGACAUGGAAUGAUCUGCUGCUUUUCUCGUCCUAUAUUUUUAAUUUUUAAUUUAAGACUUGAUUUUCCAACCUCCUCUACAUGCCAUCAUUAUUUAUUCUGAAGUUGCAAUUGAAAGAAACGUUUAUAGCACGUUUUGCAGGAAUAUUAUUAAUAAUUUAA